rnacentral:lncRNA from 1 species
UUUUCUUUUUUUUUUUGAGAGAUAGGUAGCACGCUAUCUGCUUCGUUUAUUUCAUUUAGAAAUAAACCUAGUUAGAAAUGUGAAUCAAAUAGAAUUCGAACUUGGAACCUCGAAUAUCAAACACCAAGUCUUUUGCCACUUGCUCUAGGGACGGUCUGUAAAAAAUACAAAGACUUUCAAACGUAAAAUAUAAACCUUUCGAUUCAAGAAAUUUGUGAUCUCUGUGAUCUCUAGAAUCGUAUUAAGUCCAAAAUGCUGAACUGCGGACUAAUAUGUCAUAUAUAUUGCAAGAGCCAAAUAUCCGUAACACUUAAGAAGUAUAUUUUCAGGCAUAUUUUGUGGCAUUAUUAUUCGAGCUAAGUUUAGUUUAGUAAUGGAUGCGCUGUUUGGUACAAUCAUGUGCCGAAAAAUAUAAAAAAAGAAAAGAAAAAAAGAACGAAAGAAAGAAAGAAAAUUUUGAUUACGUGCAUGAGAAAGACCCUAACAAUUACGGAAGAGAAAAACUGCAAAGAUGAGACAUACAUUUUUAUUUAAGGGAUAAUUGUUAUUUAAUUACAUUGGGAUGGGAAACGAGAACUCUAAAACCCGUUCUAGAAUCCUGAUCCCUUCAUCUCAUGCUACAGUACACACCCUGAUCAAGCGAGGACUUGCCGCUUGCUAGCUUCUGAUUGGUCAAGUCCGAUGCUGACGUGACUGGCCCUGAGCAAUUUUCCCGGCGGCAUGGAGGAAGAGCAGGGAAGCUAACACUCCGAGGAGCAGGAAGGCGAGGACGUACUGCAGGGGGACGGCGCCGGGGAGGACGAGGGAGAAGCGGACGACGGCGGCGCAGAGCACGAAGGCGAUGGCCAGCAGCAGGAGCCUCUUGUGCAGCGCCGCGACGACGGCCGGGUCCCCCGAGCGCACGACGGCGUGCAUGGAGAGGCCGAGGCUGGUGAACAGCCCCAGGCAGACGAAGGCGAGGUAGGCGGCGUGGAGUUCGGGGCGGUGGCCGUCCGCCGCCGGCGGGGCGUUGACGAAGAGCACCAGCGACCCGGCCGCCGCCGCCAGCGCCACGGGCUGCACCAGCUUCGCCACCCGCCUCGCGUCCGAGGAAUCAACCUCCCGGCGCCCGUCGCCGACGAGGAUCGCCGGCGCCGGGACCUCGGCCGGAGGAGGACGGGAGGGUGUGCCGGACUCGAUGUCCAUCGGGGGCGCGGUUGCGGUCAGCGGAGGCAGCUCCGGCUGCUGCGUUUCGAGCGCCAGUUCGGGCGGCGGGGAUGCGGAGGACUCGGAGGAGGCGCCGGAGCUGAGGAGGCGCCGGAGGAAGGGGUGGGACGAGAAGGAGGAUGAGAGGUAGUCGAGGCCCCGAAGCAUUAUUGCGAUAGGGAGGGAGAGAGAGAGAGAGAGAAAAGAAAGAGAGAGAGAGAGAGUGGUGUGCCUUUUGGAGUUUGAUGAUGCUUAUGGUUGGUUGUUAAUGUUGCGGGCUGUAUAAAUAGUGGCUGUGCAAUGGGUCUUUAUCGCCCGUAUCUACAAACUUUUUGGAUCUUAUUUGUUAGUCUACAUUCGCGAGCUUUUUUUUUUUUUAACUUGAUCGAUGUUUUGAGUAAUACAUAAUCAAAGCUAAUUCUAAAUUUCUGAGAUCUUCAUCUCCAUCUGGCUUAGAUUUUUAUAAUUAUAUAAUGAAUUUAUUCUCUAUCUUUUAACCCAUCUGAUCAAUUCCACGGCCGGUUUGCUAUAAGAUCCGCUAAUUUUUCUCAGGUAAUUUUAACUUUUUUAUUAAAUACUAAAAUCUAAAAAGAUUUUUUUAAAAUCCUAGAUAUGAGGGCUAUCAUUUUUGGAAUGAUGGUUGUAAUCCUACAAUCUUUUUUGUGUCGUAGACUCAACAUUUUCUUCUAUAAAUAAGGUACUAGUGGUGUAGCAAGUGUGCUGUAACAAGUUUCUUACUGUAGCAGCAUAACUUAAUAUAUGCUUACAAAUAUUUUGGAAUUAAAAAAAUUCUAACUCACUUAAAUUUUCUCUCAUAUUUAUAAAUCAUAAUCUGUAAUUUAAAAUAUUGAGGUUUAGCUGCUGAACAAUAUUGAUGUUGUUGUUCCAAUUUAUUGAUAAUUUGGCUGGACAUUCAUCAUUAGUGGAGUGAUCACACUUAAGCCACAUUUUGAGGGAAAUAACUAAUUUUUUAUUUUAUUCUUUCAGCUGGAUAAUUAAUUUUUCUAACAUAUUUCAUCCCAGUUUUUGAAAAUGGAAGUUGUGGGGUGUCAACGGAUAAUUCUGGAUAAAUUUGGAGCUUGAUUAAUUAUGCUUAGAACGACUUGGCAUUAUUAUUAUUAUUAUUAUUAUUAUUAUUAUUAUUGUUGUUGUUGUUGUUGUUGUUGUUGUUGAUUUCAUUUAUUCCCAUGAAACAAACUGUUCCUUAUUUGUACAAGGAGUUCAUUCACGAUUAAUUCUCUCUAAUAUGUGCAAUUACAAUUAGCAGUUGAUUGGAGAACACAUAAUAUGUACAUUUGCUACAUUAAAAACUAUGCACAUCUUCACUAUAUCUUUCCACCGAAACUAGUUAGUACACUUUUUUUUUUUUUUUCUUUCUUUUCCUCCACAGUUCUUCGCGAUUAAUAAACUAAUCAAGGUUACACAAUAAUUAUCUUAGGUGAUCAUCCAUUCUCUGCUAUUUUAAUCAAUAGAAAUAUGUUCAGUUGUUCAACUGCUACAGAAAAAUUAUGAACAAGAUAUAUUUUAGAGUGAUCGAUCGAGCAAUGGAGUGUGAAUGCUUAUAAGAAAAGCUAACUAGCCACUACUCUUGCCUCUUGGCCGGUCAAANGAUCCUUAAUUUCCGUUCAAUAGCAUUAAUUAGAGCCCUCCAUAGUUUGAAAAGAAGAAAAAAAAAUCACUUACAUGAGUUAUUAGUCAAGGAUCAACAAUUUAGGAAUGCAUAUAUGCAUGCAUAGUUUUUUUUUUUUCCUUUUGUGAGAGAGAAAGAGAAAGGUAGUACGGUACUUACUUCAUUCAUUUCAUGCGGAGUAUUUUUACUGACAAAGUGCGCCCAUUUGGGUUGUGGUUAGUCAUGGUCGCGCAAUUUGCAUAUAUUCAUUAUGCUUUUAUUUUUUAAUUAGAAGCCAAGAAGAAAUACGUACGCGAUGACGCAGUUGUCGUGCGUCUAGACUUAAGUCAUCAAUGUGAUGUGUAACUGUGCUCAAAUGAGAAAUUAUUGGCUGCACCGGAUGUAUAUUUACGGUCCAUACACUAAACCUGAUUAUUAAAAACUAAUGAUGAAAAUUUUAACAUAAAAACUUAUUUUAUUAGAUGUAUUUUAUGAUAUUUGAAAGAUACUAUAUCUAUCUAUAUAUAAGAGUUAAUGGCAAAUUAAUUGAUUUUGUAGUUUUUCUGUGAUUUUGAAUUAUAUUAUUAUGCCAUGUCUGCGAUUGUUAUAUAUAGAUAGAUAUAGUAUCUUUCAAAUAUCAUAAAAUACAUCUAAUAAAAUAAGUUUUUAUGUUAAAAUUUUCAUCAUUAGUUUUUAAUAAUCAGGUUUAGUGUAUGGACCGUAAAUAUACAUCCGGUGCAGCCAAUAAUUUCUCAUUUGAGCACAGUUACACAUCACAUUGAUGACUUAAGUCUAGACGCACGACAACUGCGUCAUCGCGUACGUAUUUCUUCUUGGCUUCUAAUUAAAAAAUAAAAGCAUAAUGAAUAUAUGCAAAUUGCGCGACCAUGACUAACCACAACCCAAAUGGGCGCACUUUGUCAGUAAAAAUACUCCGCAUGAAAUGAAUGAAGUAAGUACCGUACUACCUUUCUCUUUCUCUCUCACAAAAGGAAAAAAAAAAAACUAUGCAUGCAUAUAUGCAUUCCUAAAUUGUUGAUCCUUGACUAAUAACUCAUGUAAGUGAUUUUUUUUUCUUCUUUUCAAACUAUGGAGGGCUCUAAUUAAUGCUAUUGAACGGAAAUUAAGGAUCUGUUGGAGCCAAAACAUAUAUAUAUACAGAGAGUAUGUUCUUUUAUUUUCGAUGGGACUGCACAAAUUUUGUUUUUUCUAUUGCCAUAGAUGCAACCAUGCAUGUUGAAAAGAUUUUAAAAUAAAUUUUUUUGGAAAGAUCCUUAAUUUUAUACAUGCUGCUCUAGGCAAAUUAUUUAAUACAUAGCAUUGGUUUUAACAUGAUCAGACUCUGAUUGAAUUAAUGUCACCUCAUCCGCUUGUUUGAAAAUUUUGGGCUAUAAUAAUUAAGUAAAUAUUAUAUAUGAUGACUGAUGUACACGAUUAUAAAGAUUGAUAUACAUCGAUCGAUCGGCACUCUCAAAUUUAAUUUAAAUUUGCGCGAACGGUGAAGAUCAUAUGGUCUCAAGUUGGAAGCAUGCAUAUGUGCAUAUAUGUCUCCAUCAAAUUUAGUUGCCUUCUAGAGAGUCUAGCGAGCUUAGUUAAUUUAACUCCCUUCUUAGCUGGAGAUGCUUUCUGACGUGUCACGAAUAUUAAUUUGACUCUAUUGAUCCGCAGGCCUUGAAAUCUUUAUUGAUCUUCCUUCCUCUUUGAACAUUUCAGACUACGACAUGCACUUUAGAAUCACUUUGGAAUCUCAUAAUCAAUGCUCAACCAUCACAUCAUUAAACGUUAUCAUCAGGAUAAGAUUAUUAAGAUCAGCUCUUAUUUAUGUUUUCUGGGGUAAUUUCUAUACACCAUUAAUGAACAUGGCCGUAUUAUUUUAUGAGCCUAUCUUAGGUAUAGUUUUCUUAUAUACCUUUUUUUGUGUACAAUAUUAGUUUGUCCCCGAUUCAACUGCGGUGUAUAUAUGUAUACCAUCCAUGCACCUAAUACAAGUAGACACAAACUAAUCUGAAGAUUUCAGUCUCAAAAAAAAAGAUAAAAAUAAAAUGCACGCGACACAGCUUGCUCUAUACCUAUACACAUGAAAUUGCAGUCACAAUAAUAUUGUUACUUUAUGUGGUAGCUUCAUCACGAAGGAAAGGAUAAUUAAUCAGUUGUUUUCAAUCUGUAAGAACCGGUUAUGAUCACCACCAAAUAAUUUAUUCUAAUGAGAGAGACACGCGUAGAGACAUGGUUGUUCCUGGCUAUUAUAUAUGAUCACCGAGGCUCAAUGAUUCUUCGAAGAUGUUUUAUUCAAUCCUUAAUUAACUAGUAAAAGAAAUUAAGAAUGAGAAAUUAAGUACUAUAUAUAAGAGAUUCAUGGACCAUACAUUAAUCCUUAAUUACUUACUAAUUAAACGAAAAUAAUUAUUUAUAGCAAGAAUAAUAUGAUGAUCGUUUGUGGGAAAAAAAAGUAUAAGAGAGAGACAAAGGGAGCACUUUUGUCAACUCUUGGGACCAGUAAUUAAUGUGUUUCCAUGUACGUGGCUUCAGACAUCAGCAGUGCAGCCACGGAUGAUGUCACGAUUGUGUAUAAUGUCAACAAGUGAUGCAAUGUCAAACAUGUGGGCACUGCAACUGCAACUAGUUGAAAGGCCAAUGCAAGCAACUACUCUUGUAAAAUCUAAUAAUCUCAUAUAUUUGUAAAAUUGUUUGAUUUUUUAGUUUAAUAUGUAUAUAUAACAAUAAUGAACAUAGCAUUUUAAAUGCUAGAAGCUCAUGGAUAUAUAAAUUAAAAAUAUGACUAUAUCAAUACCUUAACUUGGAUAUGUCCAAAAAAAAAAUCUUUAGAUAAAUACAUUUGGUAAUCGAGUAGCUAAAUAAUAGAUGCUGUAAUCAAAGUUGGAUUUAUCCUUAGUACUAUAUUAUGUACUUUAACAUAUAUCAGAAAAGGAAAAAGAGCAAGUUUUUUAUUUACUUUGCAAAUUACUUUGUAACUCCUUUUACAUGUUGCCAUUUUGGGCAAAUUGAGAAUUUUAAAGGUGUCUUUAAUUGCAAUCAACUAUAGGACUUAAUUAACUAGAAAAAUGUUAUAUGUACGCUCUAUUAUAGGGUCUACAGCUUACAUUUUAUCAUCUAAAUAUUUGUAAAAAUUUUGGCAUUAAAAAAAAUUGAUAAGAUAACUAAGCAAGUAAAUCUUAUCCUUUAAGAAACUAGUGUAAGAUUUAUGCAUGCUAGAUGCACAGGUAACAUUGCUUAAUUAACUAAUGCCAUAUGAUUUGACUAAACAUUGACCCAAAGCACCCAGCUAGCCAACACAUUGCCAGCUCUUGGAUGUUGACAUAUUUAGUUAUUUAUUUAUGUUUAUUCCUUUACUUGCGGCCUAAGAUUGUUUUUAUUACAAGAUUACCACCAAAAUGCAAAUGGAACUUUUUGUUAUUAUUAUGUUUUAAGAUCCAUGGAGGGCCGUUAGCUACUUGUAAGUGUGUUUAGUAUGGGAAAAAUCUGAUUAAACAAUAAGUGCAUCGACCGAUUUGGUUAGUGAGAAUUAAAAAUUUUCAUUGCUUCGGUGUAAGAUGCAAUAAAAUCAUAUUGAAAUUUAUUCAAUGAUCAAACUUGUUAAGCUGGAAUGCAUGUUGGUGUUAUUAAUAAAAGUUGAUUUACUCUUAACUGAAAAUUUAUUAAAUUUGAUCACUAUUUGGUUGAUCAAAUUGUAUAAGUCCUUUGUGCUUCAGCAAGAGUCGCAAUCGAGCAGGUUAGCUCAAGAUGAGUAGGAAUUAAUGUCAUUGUUUCUAGUGUGAAACGAAGAUAACCCUUCAUCGUAGGCUAAUGUUUCAUUGGUUCUCCAAUAUGUACAUUAAUUGCUCAAUAAAAGAAUAAAAUGAAAAAGGAUAAUAAGAGAUAGCUCUUUGUACUCUCCAAGGCCUAGUCAUGUUGCCAAAAAUUGAGUAAAAAAAAUAUACCAUUAAUAUUGUAUUAUUAUUAUUAUUACACAAUUUUUAUGUAUAUGAUGCAGUUCAUUAAUAUUGUAUUAUCAUAUUUACUAUUAUUAUUAUUUUCACAUGGCNAAACCUAACCAAAUCUUAAAUUUUUUGAGGCUUGGAAUCUAAAUUUUGUUUCUAGCUUGAAUCUUUGGAUUGAUUUUUUAUUUUUUUUGAGAAUAAGGUAGCGAACUACCCGCUUCAUUCAUUAAGGGGAUGAACUAGGCUUACAAGGUGGAUGCAGCUAAGGCAUCCGGUGGAAAACGAAAAAGUGCGAGGAACCAAAAAAAGAAAAAAAGACGGAAAAGAGAGGAAGAGCUAAGUAAACGAUCCGCGCUCAGCAGAAACUGCUCCAGUUGUUUAGGAGGACGUUAAUACGGUCUAGCAAGCGCAGGGGAUUGGGGGGUGUCGAACGAAAAAUAGUAUUAUUUCGCUCAGUCCAUACCGCCCACCAUAUUGCUGACAAAGUAGAAAGACCCUUCGAUCUUGUCUUGACGUUUCUUUGAUUUAGGAGUCUGGUCCAUAGUUCUCGGGCCUCUAUCUGGGGUUCGGCAAGUAGCUCCGGGCCGGCAACAUUGAAGAGCAGGUAUUUAACAUACACGCAGUUACCAAACAGGUGAUCGCGCGAUUCCGGGGCGCUAGCGCAGAGGACGCAGGUUUCCUCCUCGGGCCCAAUCAGGGUGCGUAGUCUGUCCUUGGUGAGAAGUCUGUUCCGUAGUAGCAACCAGACGAAUAUCUUGAUUUUCAAGGGAAUUUUAAGUAUCCAGAUGGACUGGCUAGUCGGGUCUCUGCAGCCGGCGUCAGUAAGGAACGAGUAUAGAGAUUUGACCGUGAAUAGUUGAUUUGAAGUCCAGCGCCAGUUGACUGAAUCCGGUCGAUUGAUGGGUUUAAGAGGACGGAGCAUGUUUUUGAGUUGCUGAAUGAAGUUGCGACGUUCGGUGGGGUGAGCUGAAACCACGCCUCGACAGAUGUAGCGCCAUCUCCAACCAUUAACGCUCCAACAUUGGAAAACGGUGGCCUCUUUGUUCCUAAUGUUGUCAAAAAAGGUUGGGAAUUGGGUGCGUAGCGAGGUCUCUCCCAUCCAGAUGUCUGUCCAGAAACCAAUCCCGUUGCCGUCCCCUAAUGAAUAGGAUGUACCGCAUUUAAACGCUUCACGACAGCGCAGUACACUCCGCCACCAUUGCGAGUAGGGGACAAACGCUUUCCCCUCGUGUAGCGGCCGUCUUCUUUGAUAAUAAAUGGUUUUAAUCAACUUAGUCCAAGCAAGCUUCUCCUCAGUAAAGAAACGCCACCACCAUUUGGAAAGUAGGGCCGUGUUCAUUGAAUCUAGGUCUAAGAUCCCUAGCCCCCCUUCUUUCUUGCUUUUACAGACGGUUUUCCAGUUGACUAGGCAAGCCCCCCCACUAAUUUUGUUACAGCCUUUCCAAAAGAAAGCCCUGCGCAGGGCUUCAAUUCUUUGAAGGACCCAUUGUGGUGCUUUGAAAACGGAGAGGUAGAACAACGGCAAGUUCGUUAGGACAGAGUUGACUAAAGUUAGUCUCCCCCCUUGAGAUAGAACUUUGGCUUUCCAACCUUCAAUUCUCGUGUCGAUGCGGUUGAUAAUUGGGGACCAAUCCUCCUUUUUAAGCUUCUUAGGGUGAAGGGGCAGCCCUAGAUAGCGGAAAGGGAAAGUGCCUACUUUACAUCCGAGAAUGCCGGCAAGUCGGAUGGUUUGUAGCGGAUUGGAUCCCAAGUAGUAUAGUUCGGAUUUAUCUCUGCUGAUUUUGAGGCCCGAUGCCCAUUCAAAUAGUUUCCAAAUGUACCCUAGAUUGCGCAGGGUACGUUUUCUGGGUUCGUAGAAGAAAAUAGUGUCAUCUGCAUAUUGGAUGAGUACCGUUUGGCAGUCUUCGGAAGGGCCAAUGCCUCGGAGGAAGUUGUUAGGUCUGACGGUUUCUGUCAGCCGAGAAAGACAGUCAGCCACCAACAGAAAAAGGUAAGGAGAGAGGGGAUCUCCGUGUCUGAGUCCCUUUCGAACUUUCAACCACUUCGUUGGUGCGUCGUUGACAAGGAUGGCCACCUUGGCAUUACAGAGACACUGCUCAAUCCAAGCCCACCAUUUAUCGCUGAAGCCGAGCAAGUAUAGUAUUUUCUUCAGGAAGCUCCAUUUUACGUUGUCAAAGGCUUUUUCGAAGUCCGCCUUGAUGCAGGCGCAUUCCUUGUCCAUCUUGGUGCACCAGGCUACUAGCUCGGAGGCAGUGACGUAUGAGUCGAGCAAGAACCUGUCUUUGAGGAAAGUUGAUUGCGAUGGUGAGAUAAUGGUUGGCAUAACGAGUGCUAGUCUGUUUGCGAGGACUUUGGAAAUAAUUUUUUGAAUUCCAUUGAUAAGACUGAUUGGUCUGAAAUCCUUCGCCGUACAGGCUCCUUCUUUUUUGGGAAUGAGGCAUAUGAAUGAGUAGUCGGUGGGAUCGGUAGAGAGCCUGUUUUCCUGGAGGUCAGUGAAGACGUUAAAUAUAUCAUCCUUGACUAUGUCCCAGAAGGAUUGGAAGAAGAGUAGUGGGAAGCCGUCUGGUCCCGGCGCUUUGUCAGAUCCCAGAUCGAAGGUUGCUUUUUUUAUCUCCUCGAUUGUGAAGGGAGAGGUAAGGGAGUCAGGAUUUGACAAUCUGCUUGCCUGGUAGAGCUCACUCCAGUCGCCUGAGGCCUGGGAGGUGUCUUCUGGCUGGCCGAAAAGCAGUUUGAAUUUUCGGUAGAAGUAUGAUUGCUUUUCCUUUUCUUGAGUGAUAUAGUGACCAUCGUCGUCCAGAAUAGCUUUGAUAGAGUUGGUACGCUUUCGUCCGUUAGCCACUUCGCCCUCCUUGAGCCACUCCUCUUUGGCCCUGGUUUAUUGUCGAAAGCCGCUUUUUGAGGUCGAUCCUCUUGUCAAAGUCAGCCGCUGUUAAGUUGUCAAGUUCCUCGCGGGAGUCGAUAGCUUGUAAUUCGUCGAGUAGGGACUUCUUGGUGCUAGAGAUACUAUAGAAUUUAGUCUUACACCAUUCUUUCAUUCUGACUCUGCAGUGUCUGAGCUUGGCGGAUAGGGUAAGGAUAGCUGUGUUUUUACUAGAAAUUUCAUUCCACCAGAUAGGUACAUUUUGAUGGAAGUCAUCUUUGGACAGCCAAACUUUUUCGAAGCGGAACUUUCGGGGCUGGUUGCGGGCCCCAGUUGAGAGGAGGAUAGGCGUAUGGUCGGAAGUAAGUCUGGGAAGGGCUUUAACGUUGCAGAGUGGGUAGGUUUGGUCCCAUUCGGUGGAGACGAGGAAUCUGUAUUAUUAUUAUUAUUACACAAUUUUUAUGUAUAUGAUGCAGUUCAUUAAUAUUGUAUUAUCAUAUUUACUAUUAUUAUUAUUUUCACAUGGCCUGCGCGCGUGAAAUUCUCCUAAAAUCUCAAUUUAUCCUAAAUCCGGGCUCAUUUGAUUCCAAAUAGGAAAUGCCUACUAGCUACUCUAACAAUUGAUGUUAACACUGUUCAUGAUAUUAAAUUGACAUAGGAAAUUAAGUGAUGGCCAAUAAAAUUGUUCUCAACUAAUUAAUUAAUCUUUAUGUUUUUGAAAUCUAAUGAUAAUUUAAGCAAAAAAAAGUACAUUAUAAGCUGUUGAUGUAGUGAUGUAAAUGCAUGAUGUAGAAUCGUUAAUUGGUUAGUUCGUUCCUGUAGUCUGAAGUACUAUUAUAAAUUUUUAAAUAUUCGACAAUUUGCACCUACCAUUCGUGAGAGAACCAAAGCAUUUGCAUGGAUCGAUCCAUGUGGGUUCUUCAAUUGCAUGCUAAAUUGCAAGCAUAAACUAUCAAACUACGAGAUAUAUAUUAUAUGUACCAGCACAUCAAUAAUAUUUGAAGUCAUGUUUGGCGGCGGUAAAUAGAAACACUCAUAUUAUUGAGGCUGAAAAUCUGAUUGGUUGCCCUUGCACGUGCGUGGGGCCAACAGCGCGCGUACAGCCGACGCUGAAUUGUGGGCAGAUGCUGACAACAUUCUAGAAACAAAAAAAAAAAUAAUAAUAAAAUAAAAGGAGAUGCUUUCUCACAAAAUGUGGUUUUGACUAAUGUUAUAUAUCUAUAUCUAUAUCUAUAUCUAUAUCUAUACAUAUAUAUUUAGAGGUAAAUUUGUAUGGUAAUUUUGGAUUACUUAUAAUAACAACAUGUAACUAGAUCAUUAAUUAACAGGACUUGGAGCACAACUUGGGAAAAAAAAAAUAAAAAUGAAGCAACAUGUUGAUUGUAAUUCAUCAGCAGUAAUUGAAGAUUAUAUGAGCAAUCAAUACAUUUCAGCCAAUAUUUGAUUCAAUAUUUAUUAAGUAUUUUAAUUACUGUUGGCAUAUUUACAAUUAAUCAUCGCCUAACAGAAAAAUAUUUUUUUAAAGCUUACAAGUAACAUAUGGAGUUUAAAGUAUAAGUAGCAAUUUCCAAUUUAGCGGAAAGUUUUGGGAUUCUUAAAAUUAAGUUUAUAUAGUACAAAUCUGCGAGAAUUUUACAGUGGUUUGGCAUGAUGAACCAGGCGAAGAAAAAUGAACAAAAGAAAAGAAAAGGAGGAAAAAUAAUAAGAAUAUUUUGAUCAAUUUCUCAAAAAUACAGUUCGAAUCUGAAAAAUCUAAAAAAACAGCCUAUUUUGGCAAAAACAUAAAAUCGUUGUACGGAAUUUGUUAAGUUGACAAAAUCAAAGUAGAUUUAAUUUGUUAAGUUCGAUUUUUGUUCCCAGGAGAACCUGCACCUUAUAUUAGCAUAAUUUUGUUUUCAUGAUAAUUAACUUUCACAAUCUGUAUUUUAUUUUAUUUUUCUCAAUCAGAAGUCUUUUCUUCGAUCCCAUAAACAGCAUCUCUAAAGGAAAAAAAAAAAGGAUCUAUAAUAGAGAAAUUAAUUUGUUUGAUGAGAUCCAAAAUACAUAUAUAUGUAAAAUAUUUUAUAAUUAUUAAACAUUUAUCUUCUACAAAUUAUAUUUUACAAAUUAAAUAAUAAUUCUUGCUCUACAAUUAAUAUUGAGAUGAUCAAUUAAAAAAUUUCAUUCGGUGCAUGUAGUGCGCAGGGCCAAUGUGUGCACGUGGUGCAGGGAAUAAUUUCUCGCUCGAUUGGCGCGCGUUUUCCACCCUUUACAUCACUUCAACUUACGCAGCAUUAAGUCAUCAGAAAUGACGUCAUCGCUCCAAUCACUGUCCAAAGCUCUGUCUAGUCGGCCGGCCGGCUAAAAGGAGACAAAAAAAUUAAAAACUAGAAAAAAAAAAAAGAAAAAGAAUAAAAAGCACUUUUAAUUGCGCGUUCUGAUCUGAUCUGAUCAUGCGCAUCCCUUGCGGAAAAUUAGAGCACAAAACUUUUAUAAUAAUUAAAGAUCGUUGUACGGAAUAAAAUAUAUUUAUUUAUUUAUUUUAAAAUUUCUAUUUUAAAAUUUUGUAGAUUUUAAAAUACACCAGCUUGUUAUCCUGUUCACCAGCGCGUUUAGACAAUAAUAAGUGACAAAUAAAAAUACCUUCAACCCUAAGGAAGCAAAUUGGGACCGAAGUAAAUUAAAAGCAUUUUUGUUUGUCAACAAAGCGUGGGGGACCAUCUAGAUUUUUGAUUCUCUUAAUAUUCAAUUAAGUGUUUGUCGAAUAAUUAAAAGUUUUAUCAAAUUCAUUUGUGAUUUUACUCGAUUUAAUUUCUUUAACUAUUUUUUGGUAAAUAAUACUAAAUGAAUGACUACUAAUAAAGUAAUUAAAUUUGAUAUAAUCUCAAAUUAAAGAAUUUUUUUUUUAAACAAAGAAUUUAUUUCAAAAUUCUCUGUAUUUUUUAACUCCUCUCCCGAGAGCUUUUGGUGGGCCCUGCAUGGUCCAGAAAACUUUUUUGUCCUGGAGAUUUUGUGCUUUGAAAAUUUCAAAGACGUCUCAUGAUUCAGGCACUCUAACGAAAUCCACAUCACUAUCAUUAAUUAUUAUAUGAAAUAUGUAAAUUUUGAAAUAUUUAAAUUUUAUAUAUUUAUAUAGUCACAAAGUUAAAAAUUCUAACAGCUAAAAUGAGAUGUGAGUAUUUUACUAAGAAUAUAUUGAACUUAUAUUUUGGUUUUUUAAAGUAAAGUUAUUGAUCAUCAUGUCCCCGGAAUCAAGUGUCAGGGCCAGUAAUUUAUCUAAUUUUAACUGACCCCCCUUCCUCCUUCCUUCUCUCUGCUCUUCUCUCUUCGCUCUUUUCUUCUUUCUUCUCUUUCUCUCUCUCGCUCUCUCUCUCUGUAUUAAGGUUUGUGUAGUAGCUUCAUAAACAAUUAAAUAUUUAAUAUGGACUUGAAUCAAUACAGAUACAAUUACCCGGUUUGUGGGCAAGAAUACCCUGUGUCCUAUGCGGGAGUGGAAGAUGCAAAGUGGAAUUGCUCAACCGUGUUUUUAGUAAGUUUAAUGUGUGUCAUGGGCUGUUAGAUGGUGUGGACCAGACCUGGGGGGAGUGUGACCUAGUUGGGAUAGGGUCGUCUAGAUGAGCUUAUAAGGGGCGGGAAUAUCAGUAUGUCAGUUGUAUAGGCUGUUAGGUUGUGUAACUGUGGACAGGUCAGAACACUUGUAUUUUGAAGAAUCCAACCGAACAGGGAUAAGCAUACGUACACUCAGGUUAUUUCUGAGGAGUGGAUUUAAUUUCCUCAUCUUGAUUUUUUAGGUUUAAACGUGUUUUUUUUUUUUUUUUUUUUUUCUUUUUUUUUUUUUUUCGGGCUAGUUGCUCCGUCUUGUGCCUAGUUCAUUUUUUCAAUGAAUAAAAGCAGUGCAUAUAUUUUCUCAAAAAUACCAAUCAAUGUAAAUUUUUAAUAUUAACAGUCCAAAAUAACAAAUCUGAGAAAUUAACUAGAAUUUUGAAUGACUUAAAACCAUUGGAUUGGCCAAAUUAAUUAAUUUUCGGUGCUUCAGAUAUAGCAAAACCCCGGUACUACUGCAUUUUGUUUUUCUCAAUAUUUGGACUUAACCUGGUCAUUAUCAAUAAUGAGGAUGAGCUUGACCGUGUGUUGGCUUAUGAUACCUGUUCUCAGUUGCAGCUCGAUUAGUCAAGGAGGGUACACGUACUAACAUAGCCCGAUAUUUUGUACUGUAUAUUUCAAUUUGUAUAAAAAGCUAGCUUUGACCAGUUCUAAUUAGGUCCAACGAUUUUCCUCUAUAUAUUUUUAUAAUAUAUUCCUUUAUACUUUAUUAACGGCUUUUUGAGAAAUGCUUGAUGUACGGUAGUUAUAUGUUUCCAAUAAUAUUGUUGAUGUGACGGCGAUUAUAAUUAGACAGUUUAAGAUUAAAGCUUAAUUUAGACUGUAAUUAAAAUAAAUAAGUCAAUAAAAUUUUAUUACAAAUUAAAUACUAAUUAAAAACUAAUUAAAAGACUUUAUUGUUGAUGCGAUUCUGAGAUGAAAAUUUUAAACUAGCUAGCACAUUGAUGCAAUUCUUGAAGAAGGGCGAUACGAUUAAUUCAUGAUCAGCAGGUAAUUAACUAAACUUUGCUGCUGAUGAUGAAGAUCCAAAGUAGAAAAGUCAUUGUUGUAACCAAUGUGGGUGCACUCGAAGAGAUACAACUUAAUUGCUAUAAUUAGUUCUUAUAUAUGCAACUUGGUAGCUAAAGUUUUGUCAAGAACAAUUAAUAAAAUGGUAUAUAUAUAUAUGGGGGUCAUUAAUUAAGAUCGAUUAAUUAACUCAUGCGGUCGAAAAUUGGCUUUAUGGAACUGUAGAAAAGAUAAUUUAUAUAGAGGAUUAUAUUAAGCGAAAUUGAACAAAAAAUUAUGGGGAGUAAGUGUGGAAUAACGAGAUAAUUAAAAAUGUGCUUGUUUAUUAGUGUAGUGCAAUUCUUAAGAGUACUAUGGCUAACAGGGCUCGUGUAAUCCAAGUUCCGAACCAUCAAAAUUUUAAAAACAUAUUAUAUGCUUUGUUCAGUAUUAUCGCCAUUUUUUAUUUUUUUUAUAUACAAUUUUUUGAUAAAGGCAUGUAGGAGCGGAUGAUAGAUUACUUGCAUUUUUUUAUAUUUAAAAUAUUUGUUUUAGCAGCAAAAAAUUUUUUAAAAAAUGCUCACAAGUAAUUUUAAAUUUUUUUUUUUUUCCCUUUUGAAGGUAUGAUGAUUAUUCAUUAUCCUACAAAAAAAUAUAUUAUAAACUAACCAACUAUAACAAGAAGGAAAAGUUGAUCCAUCAGUACGUUUAAUUAUACGUUAUUUAAUUAUGUUUAAGAAAACGAAUAAUAAAUAAUGCGAAACAGGAACUAUAUAUAUUCGUCCAUCACCACAAGAUAACGUUUAGAGGAUUAAUCGACAAAUUAGAAUUACUUUAAAACGUAGAAACAAGCUACAANAGGAUCUAUAAUAGAGAAAUUAAUUUGUUUGAUGAGAUCCAAAAUACAUAUAUAUGUAAAAUAUUUUAUAAUUAUUAAACAUUUAUCUUCUACAAAUUAUAUUUUACAAAUUAAAUAAUAAUUCUUGCUCUACAAUUAAUAUUGAGAUGAUCAAUUAAAAUAUUUCAUUCGGUGCAUGUGGUGCGCAGGGCCAAUGUGUGCACGUGGUGCAAGGAAUAAUUUCUCGCUCGAUUGGCGCGCGUUUUCCGCCCUUUACAUCACUUCAACUUACGCAGCAUUAAGUCAUCAGAAAUGACGUCAUCGCUCCAAUCACUGUCCAAACCUCUAUCUAGUCGGCCGGCCGGCUAAAAGGAGACAAAAAAAAUUAAAAACUAGAAAAAAAAAGAAAAAGAAAAAGAAUAAAAAGCACUUUUAAUUGCGCGUUCUGAUCUGAUCUGAUCAUGCGCAUCCCUUGCGGAAAAUGAGAGCACAAAACUUUUCUAAUAAUUAAAGAUCGUUGUACGGAUUAAAAUAUAUACAUUUACUUAUUUCAAAAUUUCUACUUUAAAAUUUUGUAGGUUUUAAGAUACACCAGUUUGUUAUCCUAUUCACCGGCGCGUUUAGACAAUAAUAAGUGACAAAUAAAAAUACCUUCAAUCCUAAGGAAGCAAAUUGGGACCGAAGUAAAUUAAAAGCAUUUUUGUUUGUCAACAAAGCGUGGGGGAUCAUCUUGACUUUUGAUUCUCUUAAUAUUCAAUUAAGUGUUUAUCGAAUAAUUAAAAGUUUUAUCAAAUUCAUUUGUGAUUUUACUCAAUUUAAUUUCUUUAACUAUUUUUUGGUAAAUAAAACUAAAUGAAUCAAAAAAAAAAAAACUAAAUGAAUGACUACUAAUAAAGUAAUUAAAUUUGAUAUAAUCUCAAAUUAAAGAAUUUUUUUUUAAACAAAGAAUUUAUUUCAAAAUUCUCUGUAUUUUUUAACUCCUCCUCUCCAGAGAGCUUUUGGUGGGCCCUGCAUGGUCCAGAAAACUUUUUGUCCUCGAGAUUUUGUGCUUUGAAAAUUUCAAAGACGUCUCAUGAUUCAGGCACUCUAACGAAAUCCACAUCACUAUCAUUAAAUAUUAUAUGAAAUAUGUAAAUUUUACGUUAUAAAUUUUGGUUUCUUAAAAAAAUCAAGUAUGAUCAUCAUGUCGAGCACUCAAGUGUCAGGCCCUUAAUUUAUCUAAANUCUCUCUCUCUCUCUCUCUCUCUCUCUCUCUCUCUCUCUCUCUCUCUCUCUCUCUUUCUCUGUAUACAGGGAUUUGGAUAGUAGUUCAAAAACAAUUAAAAUAUUUCAACUAUAGGUAAUUGAAUACCAAUAACCAGAUCACAAAUUACCCUGUGGGCCCAAGAAUCACCCUAUGUACUAUGCAGAGUGGAAGAGAAAACAGUGGACUAUCUGUUCACCCGGUGUAGUUUUAGUAAGUUUAUCGUCGUGAUGGGUGUAGAUAGCCUGCAGACCCAAGACUUGGGGGACGAGGUGAACCUAGUCUGGGACAGGUGGUCGUCCAGGAUGAGCCUUUAUAAGGAGAGGAAUAAUCUAUGUCAAUUAAUAGGCUGUUGGUGGAUCAUUUGGAAGAUCAGAAACGACUUGAUAUUUAGAAGAAUCCAACCGAACCCAGAGAUAGCCGUACGUAACCUCAGGUUAUUACUGACGGAGUGGGAUUUACUUCACUCAUCUUGAUUUUUUAGGUUAAACAUUUUUUUUUUUUUUUGGGGCCUAGGUUACUCCACUCUUGUAGCCUAGUUCAUUUUUUCAAUGAAUAAAGCGGGUAGCGUGCUACAUUUUUCUCAAAAAAAUUACCAGAUCACAAAUUGAUCAAAUUCAUCCAAAUUAACAGUCCAAAAUAACAAAUCUGAGAAAUUAACUAGAAUUUUGAAUGACUUAAAACCAUUGGAUUGGCCAAAUUAAUUAAUUUUCGGUGCUUCAGAUAUAGCAAAACCCCGGUACUGCAUUUUGUUUUUCUCAAUAUUUGGACUUAACCUGGUCAUUAUCAAUAAUGAGGAUGAGCUUGACCGUGUGUUGGCUUAUGAUACCUGUUCUCAGUUGCAGCUCGAUUAGUCAAGGAGGGUACACGUACUAACAUAGCCCGAUAUUUUGUACUCUAUAUUUCAAUUUGUAUAAAAAGAUAGCUUUGACCAGUUCUAAUUAGGUCCAACGAUUUUCCUCUACAUUUUUUUAUAAUGUAUUCCUUUAUACUUUAUUAACGCCUUUUUGAGAAAUGCUUGAUGUACGGUAGGUUNAAAAAAAAAAAAAAUCAUGCAUGCAAAUUAAAAUGGAAUCUACUUAGUGGUUUACACCUAGCUAGCUGAUCAUGCUCACGGGUAUUUAUUAUUCAUUGUCAUACACUAAUAUUCGCUUUUGAAUGAUAAGGAAGAGAUCAAUAGUUGCUCGUCCCCCUAAGUCACCGUCAAUGAAACUCACUCACCUCCCAAUUGAUCUAAUGCGUGUGAAUCACGGUGGAGACACAAAUUAUACAUUACACAGAACAAUUUGGAAAAAUCUUACAAAAAUUAUUUUUUUAAAAAAAAUAAGAAAAAUAAUAAUUUAAUAAUUAAAAAUAGUAAAAUUUUUAAUUAUGUUUGAUUUUUUUGGCUGCAUGCAUCACGAUUUUUCUUUUUCUUUUUCUUUUUAAUCACUAAUUUGGAAAAGGUAAUUUUGUUAAUAUCAUCUAUGCAACUGUAUUAAUUAAGCUUGGAUAUGUAUGCAAGUAUUCAGCAUUGUUAAUAUUACCUAGGAUAUUUGAACUUUCGAAAAACUGAAUUUUAUAAUAUGUUGAUACUAUUUAGCACGUAUUCAAGUAGUCCCAAGAAAAUUACAAAUUUUAUCAAAUUUAUAUGAUAAAUUUUUAAGCAUAUUUGAUCGCCAAAUAAAUAGCGGCAAAAAAAAUAUGAAAUUUGAUUAUUAAGAAAUUCAAGUAUAUAUUGUUGAUCAUAUUUAACUAUAAUGAUUGCUAUUUCAGAUGUUUCAUUGCCGGAAAAAAAUAAAAAUAAUAUAUUAUAAUUAUUCAAAGUAUUUUAACUCAGAUCUCUCUAUCAUCUGGCGCCAGAUCUUCAUCAUAUAUUCUUCUGCAAUAAUUAAAUCUAUGUGCGUUUUGAUACUGAAUGCUGUAAAUUUGGUACGGAUUGUUGAAAUUCCGUAACAAAAGUGUCAAAUCGAAUUUUUACAAAAAUAAUCAUCUUCUCAGUAAAGACUGAAACUAUCAUAAAAGAAAAAAAAAAAACCAAAUAGAAAAAAUACAGAUAAAAAAAAUUUUACUAAACAAGAAAAGAAUAACUUCAACACUAGCUCUCUUUCUAAAUCUCUUUAAUUUUUAGUAGUAAUUUUUCAAAGAAUUAGACUACUAUAUAUACUAUCAAUAGUAGGAAGUCAUUGGUGCUAUUAGAUUUUUAGAUUCUUGGACGAAAUGAUGUGCGGUUAGGAUGAUUGUGAUUUUCUAAAAUUGAGUGGGUGGUUGGCUGAAUAGUAUAUUUUAAUGAGUGAAAAUGAUCAAUAGAAUAUAUCUAAUGGCGAAAAAUUUGAUAGCACUAAAAGUUUGAUACUAUUAAUAGUAUAGUAACCGAAUUCUUUGUUAAACCAGUUUAGUUUUUAUAUAAGAGCAGGAGUUAAAGUGCAAAAUUUUUGAGGUUUUUUUUUUUAACAAAGAAGCCGCUGCGGCUGCUUAGGUGUUUCUACCUCAUUACUCAACUUGUCCGUUUUUUUAAUUAAGGUACUUGUAAGCGGUAAUUUUUCAAACCACUUUAAUUUUUAUAUAAGAGCAAGUGCAAAAUUUUGAGAUAUUUUUUUUAACAUAGAAGCAUUGCUUUGACUGGUUGUAUUUCCGCUCCACACGACGAGUAUUACAUGGGGAUGCAAACGAAUUCGAGUUGGUAGAGUUUUCGUCCUGAUUUACUCCGAAUGAGGGUAGUUAAAAAAAAAAUAUAUAUAUAUAUAUAUAUAUAUAUAUAUAUAUAAUCUGUUUCGAAUUCGUGCUGAUCCAUUAAGUUAAUAAAGCGGGAGGCGUGCGGGAGUCCUCUUUCUUCCUUCGACCCGUCUUAAUCUGCUAAAAAUCUGCCAGAAAUUAUUUUCACCCUGAUUCUCUUCUAAUAGAGUGAUGAAUGAAAAUCAUAAAUAAAAUUAAAAUCAAUUCAUUCUAAAUUCGUCUUGAUUAGAUAAAAAAUAGAGUGGGAGGUGGAUGAACCUGUGCCUCAGAAUCCGCCCUAUUUGAAUUCGUUGGAGCAGCCCUUUAACUGCUCGCGUGGCCGCAAGAAUAGCCAACACGCGGCCAGCUCUGCGUCGACGUCGACCUAUUGACCUUAUUAAUUAGUUUUUUAUAUUCUAUUUUUCCUUUCCUUGCGGCCGAAGCUUGUUGUAAUAAAACAAUUUUUAAUCCACUGAUGGCCCUCUCUGUUUUCCUACUUGUGAGUGUGUAAUGAGAUAACACAAGCGAACAUUUUGAUUAAAUAAUAAGGAUAAUCUUCAUAUUGUCUUUCUGUAUUUUAUUUAAUUUUUUAUUUGUCAUGUCAUUUCGUGCUUCAUCAUUUUUGUGGUUUAACUCAUUUUCACUCUGUCAUCCAAUAACCCCAGUGAUUUAGUGUAUUUUUUUAAAUUUGCCACUCUGUGAUUUUUUUAAAAUUUUUUACUUCAUCAACCUAUUUUAUAUAAAAUCUUUUGAUAAAAUAAAAAUUAAACAGUACUGGGACAAUUUUUUUUUUUAAAAAACUAUAAGGUAACAAAGUGAAAAAAUAUUUAUGAUAUAUAUAUAGUUAUAUAUAUAUAAUAUAUAUAUUAUAUUAUAUAUAUAUAUAAUAGUAAAGAAGCUAUUUUAUAUUUUUCUUUCAUAUAAUUUAUAUAAUAAUAUAUAUAGAGUUCGGCUACUAUAUUCUUAUGAGAUAUACAAUUUUUUACUCAUAAGUUUUUAGCUGUUAGAUUUACCAUUUAAUCAUUUUCACCCAUUAGAUUAUAUUAUUCAACCAUCCACUCAACCUAGGGAUCCACUAUCAACCUAACGUAACCACUUUCAUCCUAACCGUAUAUUUUUUUCAUCUGAACCGGCUGAAAAUUUAUGAGUACAAAGGGCCCUUACUCAUUAUAAGUAUAGUGGAUAUUAGUUGGCCCCAGCCUAUAUAUAUAUAUAAGCUGGGGCUACUAUACUCUUAUGAGUAUAGACCCCUUCACUCAUUAAUUUUUAACGUUGAUUGAUGGAUUGUGGUAUAGGAUGACGAUGGUCCCCAUUAGAAUGAUAGUGGUCUUCUAGAGUUGAGUGAAUAGUUGGUUGAACAGUAUGAUAUAACAGGUGAAAAUGAUCAAUGGAAUAAAUCUAAGGGCCGAAACUUAUGAGUAUAAGGGAACCAAUACUCAUAAAAGGAUAGUAGCCGGAACUCAUAUAUAUAUAUAUAGUCCGGCUAUGGUGCUUAUAAAAGUACCAAGUAUUUGGUGCUUGUAAAUUUUUUGCCGUUAGAUCUACGCCUUUGAUCAUUUUCAUCGUUAGAUUAUAUUAUUCAACCAACCACCACUUAGUCCUAGGGGGCCCUAUCAUCUUUAACCACACAUUCCUUAAUCCAAGGGCUAAAAACUUAUAAGCACUAAUGACUUUGGUACUUUUAAACAUAGGACUCAAUUAUAAUAUAUUUGUGUAUAUAUAUAUAUAUAUAUAUAUAUUUAAAAGGUUUUCUUACAAGCAACCAAAUGAGCGGAAAACUAUUUUUUGAACCACGAAUAAUUUGUGCCUUUUAGUUUUAUGGAUUUUUUAAUAGUCAGCAAUGUAUAAGGAAUCUUUUCUGAGAUCUAAAGUAUUUCUUUUUGGGACUGCUUUUGGUUCCUAGUUCAAGAUCUCUUAUGGGUUAUUAGUGUGUUAGUCAAUCCAUAUGGGUCUUAAAAUUGAAUAUUCCAUUCUGUAAUAAUUAUAAAAGAUGUGGUAUACUAGCUCUAAGCCGAUUGUAUUGUAUUAAUUAAGAUAGAGAAUAAUUCAGUUAGAAGUACUAUGGUAAUUACGCAUCAAAUGUCCCAACUCAAUCCUACGAUGUGUGUCGGCAUAUCAACAAUUUUUCAGGAAUUAUUUUUGGGUAACAAUUAGGAGCACUCAUAUUUGACAAAGGCUAGAAGUUAGUGAAGUGGUACAUCUUUGAUUUGAGGGUUGGAUUUGAUAAAUUGGUAGGCGACUGUUUGAUCGAGCACAUUCUAGAAAUAAAUUUUUUUUUAGAAAAAGACAAAUAUUAAUAGGUGACUUAUAGAUCAUUCUAGAAAGAAAAUAAGAAAAAAGAAAAAUGUAAAUUUGGUUUUCUUAAUGUUGCAUUUUAGAGUUUUGAUAUGUUAGCAAACUUAUAUAAUAAUUUUGAAUUGCAUGUAUGCACAAAUUUAAGUGUUCCUAUAUCUACAAUAUACAAAAAAACAUUAAUCUAGAGUAUUUAUAAAGUAAUACCUGAAAAAAUAUUGCUUGACUACGGAUUGAUUUUUGAGAAAUGUUUAUUUUAUACAUCCAAAAAGAGGAUCCGUUUCAUAACGGAGAUUAUCUAGCUAGUAUAUUGAGUUAAUAAAAAGGUUGGAGCUAGGAAAGUACAUAAAUAUGUACUUCUCCUGUUAAGUUUUAGCAUAAAUGGAACAUUUAUUCAAAAGUAUCCCAAACAUGUGUCUCUAUAACCUAAUUCUGUUGUAGUGAGAAUUUAGAAAAUUAUUAAUGCUUCACUGACUAAACUUUACAAAAAAAUAAUUUUGGAAGGAUCAUUUACACAUAGUACAACAAAAUAGAAAAAAUUAUAUGAUUGGUCCCAACAUGAGAUUAGGAUUCAAUGACAAGUCCUUGGCUUGUUUGAAAUAAUAUAUGAGAUAUAAGGUUUAGGAGAAAUGAUUCGGUACUUUUUAAAAAAAUAAAUAAAAAAGAUCUUAACCGUUAAUUAAUAGAGGGUAAAAAUAUAACUUUAAUACUUAGCAGGUAAAAGAAUUAUUUUAUUCAAGGUUAGUUUGGUAAUUAAAUAAUACAAUAUUUAAAGAAACUUUUAAUUGAGGUCCUAAAUUUAUGCAUUAAUUAGCACUAAUUUAGGAAAUUAAUUGAUUAACCAAAUUUAUGCAAUUAUUAGGCAUUAAUUUAGGAAUCUACUUUAAAUGUUUUAGUGUUUCUCAAAUUAUGCAUUAAUUUAAAUUAUAGAAAUUUUAGAAAUAGUUUUAUUUCUAAAUACGAUGAAUUUAAAUUUUAAAAAUUAAAUACUUAAAAUUUAAAAGUGAAAUUUAAAUUAGAGGAAUUUCAUAUUACUAUUUAAAAACUAAAUUUCUACCAAGAUUUAAAAUACAGUUUAUUCGCACCAGUUUAAAACGUAAUGCAUAAAAAACUUAGAGAGUAAGAUUUCUACAACUAGAUUUCUCUAGAGGAAUUUCAUAUUACUAUUUAAAUUUUAAAUUCAAUGAUUUAAAAACUAGAUUGAACCGAUUGAUUUGACUGAUCAGACUUUGACCUAUUCUAUCAAGAAUCUGAUUUUAACCUAUUGAACCGAAUAACAUUAAGAACAAUUUGGAACCGGUAAAGAUAAUAAAUAUUUUAAACAGAAUGAUAAUUUAACUGUUAGAGCUAAUAAAUAUUUUAAAUAUAAUUUUAAACAUAUAAAUUAAAAAGAUUAGAAUUAUUGGUGAGAAAAAAAAUAGUUAGGAAUUUGAAUUCGAAUCUGACUAACAAUCACAAAACUUAUUUCCGAACUCGACGGAUUUCAAAAAUCCAUAUCCAAAUUCAAAACUGACCAAUUUUUCGAAACCCAAAACCAAACCUAAACCAGAAGACUAGAAUUCAAACAAUUAUUUCUGUUUACCAUAUUUCAAAGUAUUUAUAUGAAACUUAAAUUUUUAAAAUAUAAAUUUGAAUAUAAUAUUAAAUUUUAAAUUUAAAAGUGAAAUUUAAAUUAGAGGAAUUUUAUAUUACUAUUUAAAGUUUAAAUUCAAUGAUUAUAUUGUCAAAUCAUUUGAAAUUUUUCCUAUAUGAAAUGCCAAAUUAUGAAAGAAAGAUAGAGAGAGAAAAAGGAAACAAAGAAAAAAUAAAAAUUUUGAAAAUAUAGUAGAUGUAAAAUGACUAAAUUGUCUAUGUAUUAAAAGACAAAAAUAAUAUUUUUUGAGGUACCUGGUAACCGGUACCUCUCCCAAAGUGACCUGCUAUUGCAGGUCACAAUUUAAAAAAAACUAAAUCUGAGCCGUUCAAUACGCAUGAAUGAACGGUAACAAAAAAAAAAAAGUAUAGAAGCAUUACUCAAGGUUUAGUAUAUAAAAAAUAGUAGGCGCACGUACGCUCCAAAAAAAAUGUAUAUAAUAUACACCUCUCCUCCUUAGGACUAACAAAGUCCACCGAGUUUUUAAUAUUUAUAAAAAAAAAUUUGAUAAAGUAAUUAAAGGACUAAUAAUAGCCCUUGAAUAAAGGGCUAUAAGAUUUACACGUCUUUUUGGGUGUUGGUGUAGUAUUUUUCUUAAUAUAUACUAAUUAAUAGUGGGGUUAGAAUACUUUUACAAGUACAUAAAUAGUGCACACUAUUAAUUUUUUAACUAAAAGAUGCUUAGAAUUUAGAUAGUGAUAAGUGAAAUAGUAUUUAGUUUGAGAGCUAAAAAGUUAGGAAUUUGCACUACUCGUGUGCUUCUUAAGGCAUUUAAGAUGAACUCUAUAUAAUGUUCAAAUUUAAUGUACUCAUCUUAAUUUAUGUUAAAGCAAUACAACUAAUUAUAAUUUUACAUUACAAAUAAUUUUAGCAGUGAAGCAGUGAGCCAAUGAGAAGAGUUCAGUUCUUUUUAUAUAUUCUUUAUUUAUUUAUUUAUUUUAAUAUACUCCAAUCAAUAACUGCAACUAAUUCUUUUUAAUUACGAGACCAAAUAUGCUAGCUAGCUUGUGUUUCCUUUUUGUACAAUUAAUUGUACCAUUUUUCAACUAUGCCGGGUCAAAUUAUGGUUGCACUACAAUUUGUGGCCUCCCAUAGUGGGACUGCAUUAAUGUAGGCAAGUUUAUCACGGAAAGGAUAAUUAUAUUUCGGAAUCUAUAAUAAAGGACUCGGAUAUUAUCGUGUCCAUAUAAUAAAAUAAUUAUUAUUUUAAAAAAAUCUAAGUUAUAAAAAAAAAAUUUAUUUAUUUAUAUAAUUUAUAGUUGCUAACACUAAUGGGAAAAGACUUGAUAGUUGGUAUUGGGCAUCUCAAAUUUGAUGUCUAAUUGCUUCGUAUUUUUUAUUUAUUUUUAAUUUAAAAAUAAUAAAUGAAUUAUCCUCAUGAUCUCUCUCACGGAAAUAAGAGAUAUUUAGAACUGUAUUUUAAAUAUUUAUAUUUAUAAAAAUCUUGAAUGAGAGUGCUUUGAAUCACGUGAUGAGAAUUUACGUUUUUGGUUUUUUUUUUUUUUUGUUGAGAAUUGUUUUAAUUCUUAUAUUUUUUAGUAUUUAAAUUAUCUUAAUUACUGUUUUAUUUUUUUAAAGAAAUAUAAUAUUUGAUUUGUGUUAAUAUUUAAGAUAAUAUGGUUGUUGAUAAAUUUAUAAUUUUUUUACUCAAAUAUGCAGAUUAAAAUAAAUAUUAAUAUAACUUUUUAUUACAUUUGUAAUGUAGAGGCAGGUGAAACCUCCUCUUUGCAUAAUAAAUAUUUAGAGACAAUUCAAACCGUCUCUACAAAUUAAUAUUGGUAGAGGCAGUUCAAACGCUUUUAUAGAUUAAAAUUUGUUGAGAUGUUUACAAAUGUCUUUAUAUUAUCAUAAUAAUAAAUAAAAUAUUAAAAAUAUUAUUAAGGGAGAAAUAUUGUGGCCCUCUUAGCUGGAGUUGCUUAAUUUCUGACAUGUCUAUGAAUGUUUGACUUUCUUGAGUUGAUGCAAUCUUUGUCGAUCUCACCGACUCUCUGAAAAUUUCGGGCGCAUUUGGGAGUCACUUCGGAAUCUCAUAGUCAAUGCUCCACUGCACAACAUAUAUAUAUGCAGGUUUGGUCAAAAAAAAAAAAAAAACAAAACAAAACAAAAAAUAACACAGUAUUGUUACUUUACAACAGCUUCACCGCGAAGAAAAGGAUAAUUAAACAGUAGUUUCCAAGCUAUAGGCCCCGGUUAUGAUCACCACCAAACAAUUGUUAAUACUGUUAGAUUUUUGUUUAGAUUUGUAUUUAUUUAAUUGAAAAUUGAAUCCUAAUUAACUAAUUAAAUUAGUAUAAAAAUGGAUUUUAGGUAUGUUAGUUACAAAUAGAAUUUAAUUAGAAGUCUAAUUAGCUCUAUAACGGAAGGCAUGUGGUCCGCACGGAGGUUGCAACAUCGUCAUCAUGGCCGAGCCGCUUUGGCGUCUUUUCUACGGAUCAAAUUAAAAUUUUGAUUUUGAGAGAUAUAAUUUUGUACUCCGCUUUCGACAUUAGUAAAAAUUUUUUCUCCGUUUUCGUCUGUAGAAAUAGGCCGAUGGAUGAACCACGUAAAUUUUAAUGUGUUCUUUUUUUUUUUUUUUUCUUUUCUAUAUUAAUUUUUUUGGACCUAUUUUUCGUUAUUUUGAUUUUAACAAAUACCAAUGAAAAAUAUACGCGUAGAGACGUGGUUGUUCCUGGCUAUAAUAUAUGAUCAUGGAGGCUCAACAAUUCAAUGUAAAGUGUUUCAUUUAAUCACAUCCGAAGAUGUUUUAUUUACUCCAUAAUAAUUAACUAGUAGGCUAGUGUGAACUACAUGUGAAACGAAGAAAACCCCUUACCGUAGGCUAAUGUUUCAUUGGUUCUCCAUGUAUAUGAUUAAUUGCUCAAUAAAAGAAUAAAAUAUAAAAGGAUAACAAAAGAUAGCUCUUUGUAUUCUCCAAGGGCCAGUCAUGUUGCAGAAAAUUGAGUUUUUUGAAAAAAAAAAAAACCACUAAUAUUGUAUUAAUAUAAAUUUUGCAACAUUCAAUAAAUUUUUAGCCAUCAUUUGCGAGUUUGUACCUAUCAAACCACCUCAUAUUCUAGACAACACCUAUUGUAUCACACUUGCAUCACGUCAGUAGUAACAAGUCAAUUAUAUCUUUUUUUUUGAAAAAAUUGUAUAGUAAAAAUAUUUUUUUAUUAAUCAUGAUGGAAUGAAUGAACUUAAGAAAGAUGAUUUUAUUAAUUAAAAACGUCAUAUCAGCAAUAUAAUUGAUGUAUUUUAAAAAUUUUCAAUGGUAUAUAUAUAUAUGUGUACAAGAGCCCCAGCGACAUUCAAAGCCAUUUUGUUUGGGUACACCGUGCACUAAUAAUAGAAGCCACUCAUAUUUCGCGAGGAUUUAGGCAUUAGUAGAACUGUGUCGCUGAUGAUUUGUUGCCCAUGCACGUGUGUUGACCCAACCGCGUACGACUGACGCUGAAUUCAGCGGCUGAUGCUGACAACAUUCUAGAAACAAAAAAAAUAAUAAAAUAAAAGGAGAUGAUCGAUCUCUGCUCCGAAUUAAUUUUGGAUUUGCUUAUAACAACAUGUAACUAAAUCAUUAAUCAAGAGGACUUAAUUGGAGCACAAUUUGAGGAAAAAAAAAAAUGAAGCAACAUGUUGAUUUUAAUUCAUCAGCCGUAAUUGAAAAUGAUAUGAGCAAUCAAUUUAUUUCAGUUAAUAUUUGAUCCAAUAUUUAAUAUACUUAUUAUUUCAAUUUAUGGUGUAUUUAUAAAGUUUUGGCUGUUGAACGAAGAGAUGUGCCGUUAGGAUGACAAUGGUUUCCUAGGGGCUAGGGUUGAAUGGGUGGUUGGUUAAAUAGUAUGAUUUAACGGGUGAAAAUGGUUAAAUGGGUAGAUGUAACAGUAGCCGAACUCUCUCUCUCUCUCUAUAUAUAUACAAUUAUCACCUAACGGAAAAAUAUUUUUGUAUAGUAGCCGAACUCUCUCUCUCUAUAUAUAUAUACAAUUAUCACCUAACAGAAAAAUAUUUUUGUAAAGCUAACAAGUAACAUAUGAAGUUUAAAGUAUAAGUAACAAUUUACAAUUUAGUUGAAGUUUUGGGAUUCUUAAAAUUAAGUUUAUAUAGUAUAAAAUCUACAAGAAGCUUAUAGUGGUUUGGCGUGAUGAACCAGGCGAAGAAAAAUGAACAAAAGAAGAAAAAAAAAAGAAGAAAAAGAAAUAAGAAUAUUUUGAUCAAUUUAUCAAAAAUUCAGGUCGAAUAUGUAAAAUUUUAAAAAAUUAAUAGUCUAUUUUUGCAAAAAUACAAAAUCGGUAGACUUUUUAUGCAAAAAGGCUAAAUUAAAUUAUUACAAAAUAUAUUUUAUUGCAACAUUUUGUGUCGUUAUGAUAGUGCAAAUCAUGAUCAUAUCAUUUAGUCAUUUAUUACUAUAAAUUUAUUAUAAUGAUUUAAAAUAAUUUCUUAUUAUAAAAAAAAUAUUAUUAUAAAUAGUUACCCAUUGGAACAGUAUUUAUAAUUGAUGGAAAAGAAUAAAUUUUUAGUAGUGAAUGAAGUCAAUUCUGAGUGUAACAAUCUCACCAUGUGUCCAUGACGUUAAUAAUCCAAGAAUUAUAUAAUAGAUGUCAUUAACUAUUCUAAUGAUUAUAUGAUAGACAUGAUUAACGUAUAAAAAACACAAAUUAAAGAAUUAAUAUAUUAUGAGUGUCGAGUGUCAAUCGACAUCUGUUAUGCUUCCCAUGUUAGACUUGACUGGGCCUUUUUUGAUAAAUAAAAAAAAGAGAAAACUUCAAAAUAGACUUCUCCUUUCUUACUUUCUCACUUUAGUAUCCUAUGGUUUAAAGUGUAUCAAUUUGUCCCCCUGUGGUUUCGUUUUUUUNGUGGGAUCUCUCAUAAUACAAAUGGAUCUCAUCCAAUUCGCAUGGUUUGAAGUUGGAUUUGGUGAGAAUUCAUCUGCUAUUAGUUAUCCUUUAUCAAUAACCCAAACUACCCCUCCUCAAAUUAAUUAUACAUCUUUCUUUUUAUAUAAGUGAGGAUACAUAGAAAAAGUAAUCUUAUUAAAAUGAUUACUCAUCUUAUACCAAACAACAAAACGGAAUAAAAUUCAGCUGAAAUCUGACUUAAUCCAAACAAAGAAAUACAUUUCUAGAUAAAUUCAAUUGAUUUUUUUUUUUCAUUUGGAUUCCAUUAAAUUCUAUUUAGAUUGUUGCUAAACCAAGUUUUCAUGAACCAUUUGAGACAGUAAAAGCUUAAUUGUAGAUAGUAUCAUAAUUUUGACGAUGUUCUGAUGCAUGAACAUCUUACUUUGAUUUACUCAAGAAGCAUACGGUAUUUAAUAUAUAUUAGUAUGAUAAGAUGUCUGGAACAGAUAUCAUACGUAGCCUUUAAACCAUUUUUUCAGGAUAAGAUAGAUCACCUCGUAAUGAAAUAUGUUAUCCUAUCAAAUCAUGGAUGCCGAGACCUUCAAAGGAGCAAAAAAAAAAAAAAAAAAAAAAAAAAAAAAACCCUAUAAUAAUAGAGAAAUUAAUUUGUUUGAUGACAUCCAAAAUAUCUAUGUAAAAAAACUAUGUAAAAGAGUUUAUAAUUAUUAAACAUUUACUUUUCACAAAUUAUAUUUUACAAAUUAUUAAAUAAUAAUUCUUCCUCUGCAAUUAAUAUUGAGAUCGAUUGAUAGGGUUAGUAAUGUGAAUCUUUUAUAAUUUCAUUAGGUGCAUGCGUGUGGUGUGCAGGGCCAAUGUGUACACAUGGUUCAGGAAAUAAUCAUUCAUGGGUGACGCACUUGGCGUCUUCCUCGCUUUACAUCACUUUAUCGUAAGCAGCAUUAAUUAAGUCAUCAUUUCUUACGUCAUCGUUCCAAUCAUAGCACGCUCUGAUCAUCCACUUAUAUUUUCAGGCAUAUUCGGUGGCAUUAUUAUUCGAGCUAAGAUUAGUCUAGUAAUGGUUGCACCGUUUGGUACAAUCAUGUGCCGAAAAAAAAAAAAAAAGAAAAAAGAAAGAAACUUGGGGAAGAAUAUACUAAUUUCAUGUCAUUGAUAAUAUUUUACUGUAUACAGUGAUUAUUUAUACUCCCCUUUACAUGUACUGAAAUAUAAAAAUGAUAGAAAGAGUGAACUAAUUAAGUUGCAAAAGUUAAUAAAAUAAGAAAUGGGCUAUGAAGGCCUCAAUCCGGAAAGAUUCUUGGUCUCUUCUUGGAUUAGGCUGAUGCAAUAGAGGAUCGGUUUUGGAUUGGAAGACCUCUUUUCUAAGUAAUCUGGGUCUAGCACCGAUGCAUUCAUUUCUAGGCUUGGCUCAUGGGCGUCUCUCCCGACCACCCGACCCAUUAGCUGGGUUCAAACGUACCCUUCCUUCCAACCCUGCGUUUGCCUAGAUCCUGUCGGGAUCUCCAACUUUGUUUCAGAUGGAUCUAAGCCGUCGUCUUCUCGAUCCCGGCCGCCCGGCCGCUGCGACUGCCGUUCGCCGUGGUUGCUAACUCCAAGGGCGCGCUCUCUUAGACCCCCUUGAGCUCCUUCUGGAUUGUCGCUUUUUUAUUCCCUUUUUUCCUUGCUAGCUAUUUUUCUACUACACCACCAUAUUACUAUAUAUCUAAGCUCAUUUGUUUGUUACUCAGGAUGUUACAGUGCGCCGCUGGAGUACUGGCCCUGAGCAAUUUUCCCGGCGACGUGGAGGAAGAGCAGGGAAGCUAAUGCUCCGAGGAGCAGGAAGGCGAGGACGUAGGGCAAGGGGGCGGCGCCGGGGGUGACGAGGGAGAAGCGGACGACGGCGGCGCAGAGCACGAAGGCGAUGGCCAGCAGCAGGACCCUCUGGUGCAGCGCCGCGACGCCCGGAUCCCCCGAGCGCACGACGGCGUGCAUGGAGAGGCCCAGGCUGGUGAAGAGCCCCAGGCAGACGAAGGCAAGGUAGGCGGCGUGGAGUUCGGGGAGGUGGCCGUUCGCCGCCGGCGGCGCGUUGACGAAGAGCAACAGCGACCCGGCCGCCGAGGCCAGCGCCACGGGCUGCACCAGCUUCGCCACCCGCCUCGCGUCCAAGCCAUCGUCCCGCCGGCCGGCGACCGCCGGCGGCGGGGAGGGUUCGCCGGACUCCAAGUCCAUCGCGGCCAUCGCGGUCGGCGGCAGCAGCUGCGGAGGCUGGGGCGGAGUUUCGAGGGCCAGUUCGGGCGGCGGGGAGCCGGAGCUGAGGAAGCGGCCGAGGAAGGGGUGGGACGAGAAGGAGGAGAAGAAAGAAGAGACGUAGGCGAGGCCCCAAAGCAUUAUUGCGAUGGGAAGUUUUAACGUAGGGAGAGAGAGAGAUAGAGAGAGAGACAGAGAGAGAUCAAGAUAGAGAGAGAGAGACAGAGUGGUGUGGCUUUGGAAGUUUGAUGAUGUUUAUUUAUUGGUUAAUUUAAGGGAAAACUUCAAAAACCCCCCCUGUGGUUUCGUGCAUUCUCACUUUGCUACCCUGUGGUUUAAAACGUAUCAAUUUACCCCCAUGUGGUUUCAUUUUUAUCUUUUCGGAAGCUUUUUCGUUAAUAUUUCGUUAAAUUAUAUACAAAAAACUUCAGAUAACCAUCUAUAUUUAUCGAAUAGUCACUUUAGUAUUCUUUAAUUUUAACUUUGUCACUGAUUUUAAAAAAAAAAAAUAAUAAAAUUGAUAACAAAAAGAUAAAAACGAAACCACAGGGGAGCAAAUUGAUACGUUUUAAACCACAGAGUAGCAGAGUGAGAAUGCACGAAACCACAUGGGGAGUUUUUGAAGUUUUUCCUUAAUUUAAUGUGCUUUAAUAAAGUUUGGGGACUAAGCUGGAUCGCCACGACGGAUGUCUUUUUUUUUUUUUUUUCCUCUCUUUCUAGAAACAAAGGCAUUUUUUCUUUCCAUCCGUGGUCGGAUCGGACCGCAUAGUCCCCAAACUAAUGUGAAAUGGGUCGGUAUAUCUACGACUUUUUGGAUCUUCUUUUUAUAAUUAUAUAAUGAAUUUAUUCUCUAUCUUUUAAUCCAUCCGUCAAUUCCACAGCCGUUUCCUACUACAUCCGCUAAUUUUUCUCAGGUAAUUUUAACUUUUUUAUUAAAUGCUAAAAUUUAAAAAGAUUUUUUAAAUCCUAGAUAUGAGGGCUAUAAUUUUUGGAGCGAUGGUUGUAAUCCUACAAUCUUUUUUGUGUAGAAUACUCAACAUUUUUCUUUUAUAAAUAAGGUAUUAUUGGGGUAGCAAGUGUGCAGUAACAAUUUUCUUACUGUAGCAGCAUAACUUAUUAUAUGCUUACAAAUAUUUUGGAAUUAAAAAAAUUCUAACUCAAUUAAUUAAAUUUUCUCUCAUAUUUAUAAAUCAUAAUCUGUAAUUUAAAAUAUUGUGGUUAAUUUAGCUGCUGAACAAUAUUGAUGUUGUUGUUCUUCCAAUUUAUCGAUAAUUUGGCUGGACAUUCAUCAUUAGUGGAGUGAUCACACUUAAGCCACAUUUUGAGAGAAAUAACUAACUUCUUAUUUUAUUCUUUCGGCUGGAUAAUUAAUUUUUCUAACAUAUUUCUUCCCAAUUUUUGAAAAUGGAAGAUGUGGGGCGUCAACGGAUAGUUCUGGAUAAUUUUGGAGCUUGAUUAAUUAUGCUUACAACGACUUGGUAUUAUUUUUAUUAUUAUCAUUAUUAUUAUUGUUGUUGUUGUUGUUGAUUUCAUGUAUUCCCAUGAAACAAACUGUUCCUUAUUAAUUUGUACAAGGAGUUCAUUCACGAUUAAUUCUCUCUAAUAUGUGCAAUUACAAUUAGCAGUUAAUUGGAGAACAUAUAAUAUGUACAUUGUUGCUACAUUAAAAACUAUGCGCAUCUUCACUAUAUCUUUCAUCCGAAACUAGUUAAUUAGUACAAUUUUCUUCUUUCUUUUUUCUUUCUUUCUUUUCCUCCCCAGUUCUUUGCGAUUAAUAAACGAAUCAAGGUUACACAAUAAUUAUCUUAGGUGAUCAUCCAUUCUCUGCUAUUUUAAUCAAUAGAAAUAUGUUCAGUUGUUCAACUGCUACAGAAAAAUUAAGAACAAGAUAUAUUUUAGAGUGAUCGAUCGAGCAAUGGACUGUGAAUGCUUAUAAGAAAAGCUAACUAGCCACUACUCUUGCCUCUUGGCCGGUUGUAUAUAUCAGAACACCAAGUCAAAUGAGGCUGCUAAAUUAAAGUAGAGGGAAAAAUGAUACAAUUAAAUUAUAAGAGAAAUAGGACAAGGUGGCCCAAAACUCUCCAUAUAUAUUCCAAUAUCAGAUUCUAUCCAAAAAUCAUGGGUCAAUUUGUGCUUUUGCUGGUUCUAGCUAGGAGUACUGAUUUUUGAUUGGUGAUCUCCAAGGGUUGGGUUUCUUCUUUCACAGAUGAUGAAGUGAUCGUAUUAGUUUGAUCUUGAAUGCUCGAAAAAAAAUUACUUAAUACUUAUGCCAUUUAAUUAUUAUUGGUUUAUAUAUAUACAAGUUAAUGGCAAAUUAAUUAAUUGAUUUUGUAGUUUUUGUGUGAUUUUGAACUAUAUUAUUAUGCCAUGUCUGCGAUUGUUAUAUGUAGAUAGAUAUAGUAUCUUUCAAAUAUCAUAAAAUACAUCUAAUAAAAUAAGUUUUUAUGUUAAAAUUAAUUUUCAUCAUUAGUUUUUAAUAAUCGGGUUUAGUGUAUGGACCGUAAAUAUACAUCCGGUGCGGCCAAUAAUUUCUCGUUAGAGCAUAGUUACACGUCACAUUGAUGACUUAGGGGCUGUUUGGUUAGAUGUAGUUAAAGAAACAGUAUAGUUGGAAGUCCAUGUAAUUGUAAAUGCUGCAGUCAUAACUAUACGUAGUCUGAUUGGUUUUAUGCAGUUGCAACUGCUACAGUUAUAUUUCUUCUGUUUGGUAGUGUGCAGUUGAGAUUUGUAUUUGUAAUUUUGUCUAUUUUUAGAUAGAAAUGUGAGAUAUUUGUAUUUGUAAAUUUUGUCAAUUUUUAGAUAGAAAUGUGAGAUUAUCUCUUCUGAGCAUAAUGUAAUCAUAUUUUAAUUAUUAAUUAAGACUUUUAUAUCUAUAUAUAAUUUAUAUAUUAUAAAAUUAUGUAUAAAUUUAAUAAAUUUUAAAUGUAAAUAUAUUAUAAAUUUAGUCAAAAUAAAAAUUAAAAUAUUAUUAAACUAGCAGACUGAAAAAUAAAAACCGUAUGAAAAAAAUUUAUUGACUCUAACAAAUAUUACUAAAUCCUAUCUGAUUUCAUGAAUAUAUAUUUUUGAGAAAAAAAAUAAAAAAAGAAGCGUUGUCUAGUCAAAUAAUUAAGGCUGCUAAUGUAGAGGAAAAUGACAAAAUCAAAUUUCAAUUAAACUUGUUUAAAAAAUACCAAUAUUCUUUUCGUAAUUCAGUGUUAAUUAUUAAUACAAAGGAAAUACAUAGGAAAAGUUGGCCUGCAAAACUUACGGGUCAAUGGUCGCCAUGCAAUUUGCUUUUGGUUCUAGACUAGAAGAGAAAACUUAGCCACAUAAAGCGCGACAAUUCGGGCUCAAGAUAGAUUUUAGGGUGCGUUCGGUUUGCGCUAUCUUUUUAAGAUUCCUAGUAAUACAAUGAGGAUAAAAAAAUAUGACGAUGUUUGGCUAAAGACACUAAGUGAAAAUGAGAUUCAUUCCAAAGUACUAAUCUUAUUCUUUGCGGGAGAGUGGGUAUCCUCAUAUUAAUGAAUUGGGUAAUCAUAAUAUGUCUAAUCUCUUUUUUUCUCCCUACCCGCCGGCUAGUUAGUAUUAUUAUCCUUUACACUCUAACCUCAUAUCUCUCUCUAAAAUUAUCUUUUUCUCUCUAAACUUCAACUCUUUUUCUUUCUCUAAACUAAGCUCUCUCCCCCUCUUUUUCUAAAAUUUCAACUCCCUCACUCCCUUUAAUCUCGACUCUAUUUUUCUUCUUAUUCUUUAAUUAUGCUCUGUCUCUCUAACCUAUAUUUUCUUUCCAUUUUUUCUAAAAAGAUGUUGAAAUUUUUGGUAGCAUUAUCUAAAAUUAAUUAAAGAAAUAAAUAAAUUAAUUGUAUAUUUUUUGUAAACUUAAAUAACAUGACUAAAUAAUAUGACCGUGCGAACCAAACACAUGAAUACCACAUUCUUAGUAAUAGGAUGAAUAGGAAUAAAAUUAUCGGAUAUCUUUUUACUCCUACUAAUCUUUCAUAGUGCGAACCAAACGUGCCCUUAGUUUGAUAUUAUGUCUAAAUAUUCAUAGAAACUUCAUCUUAAAUGUUCGGGGGAAAUUAUAGCUGAUAAUCAUGCCAUUUUUGGGUUAAUUAUGUCAACUAUUUUUUUUAAAAGAUGGCUUAUUAAGUGAUUGCUAUCUUUAGUUUUACUUCUUUUGGAGUUAGUUUGCUUCAAACUUUCUUAUUUUUGAUACAAAAGAAACUUAUUUGGGAUUUUAGGUUCCAACCAUCAAGCUUUAAACUAACUGUGUGCGCGAUGUAUGGUCAAUAUCAGUCUUUUAAAUAUAAUAAAACACAUCCAAUGAAUUAAAUUUUGAAUUUAAGAACAUUGUAAUGGGACAAUAGUUCUCAUUUGUGCAUGGUAAUACAUCAGAAACACUGUAAUAUAAGCAAAGUUUGGUUAUAGUCUCAUAGAUUUUGUAUUAGCUACUGAAGCGCCGCCUUAUCUAUAGAAUAUCCCAAUUAGACAAAUUUGGUCAUUAAUUGGACUUCCCAAGUUCUAGAAGCCAUUGAAAGUGCAUGCACCUACAAAUUAGUAAUCUCUCUCUCACACGUGUAAGUGUGGUUAAUUUUAAAUUAUAUUUAGCAAAGGGAAAAUCCCAACUUUUUACUGCAGCGGAAAAAUACGAAGACUUUCAAACGUAAAAUACGAACCUUUCGAUUCAAGAAAUUUGUUUCUGCCGUAAUCCGUUGAGAUGAAAUUUUGCACAAAGUACUCCUUAGAAUAUAUCUCUAUAUAUACAUAUAUACAUAAAAGCACUUCAAAAUUUUGGUACACAGGCCAUAACUAAUUAAGGCGCCAGGAAUGCUUGAAAGGAUCAUUAAUUCGUAUAUAACUUCAAAAACAAAUAUUUAAUAGCACAAGGGCUGCUGUACUCCUAAUAGCACAGUAGCCCUACUCUCUCUCUCUCUCUCUCUCUCUCUCUCUCUCUCUCUCUAUAUAUAUAUAUAAAUCUAGACUGGAAUACUAUCAAUAGCACCAAGCUAUUGGUACAUGUUUUUAGGUUUUCGGCUUUUAGAUGAAAAAAUAUAUGGUUAGAAUGAUGUGGAUCCUCUAGAGUUGAGUAAGUUAUUAGUUUAAUAAUAUAAUUUAACGAGUAAAAAUAGUCAAAGAAUUAAAUUUAACGGCAGAAAACUUAAUAGCACCAAACUCUUGGCGCUAUCGAUAGUAGCCCUACUAUAUAUAUAUAUAUAUAUAUAUAUAUAUAUAUAUAUAUAUAGAGUCCGGCUAUGGUGCUUGUAAAAGCACCAAGCACUUGGUGCUUGUAAUUUUUUACCAUUAGAUCUCUGCUUUUGAUCAUUUUUACCCGUUAGAUUAUACUAUUCAACCAACCACCCACUCAACCCUAGAGGGCCCACAUCAUCCUAACCGCACAUCCCUUAAUCCAAAGGCUGAAAACUUACAAGCACCAAUGACUUGAUACUUUUAAAAGCAUAGGAGCUCAAUUAUAUAUAUAUAUAUAUAUAUAUAGCAAGAUUACUGUACUAUUAGGAGUACGGUAAUUCUCGUGCUCCUAACUUCUUAACCAUUCAUCAAUUUUGAUGGAUGGUUAGGGUGAGAGAGUGAAGAAAAAUUUAGAAGAAAUUGGAUGUAUUAAUUUCUCUUCUCUUUGAACUUUUAAGUUGAAUGUGUUUUAGUACAUUUGUCACAGAUAUAAACUUAGGGUUUUGGGCUUGACUAGUACUUCCUAACAAGGCUUAAAUUCAAGAAUAGCUAGCUGCAUGAAUAACAAAUCAUAUAAUCUUACAUUGACAAUAGUCUCCGUUAAAUUUAACUAUGUCUUAGAGUGCUUAAUUUGUCUUACUAAUUAACCCUCUUCUUAGUUGGUGUUGCUUUUACACGCGUUGUGAAAUUUUGACUUUCAUGAUUGAGAAUUCGUGCACAGGGCUACUGUGCUAUUAUGAGCACAGUAGUUUUUAUAUUUUUAACUUCUUAAUUAUCUAUCAAUUUUGAUGAAUGGUUAAGGUAAGAGAGUGAAGAGAAAUUAGGGAGAAAUUGUAUGUCUUUCUCAUCAAUUUUUCUUUUUUCUCUCAUCCUAGCUAUUCAUCAAAAUUAAUGAAUAAUUAGAAAGUUAAAAGUAUAAGGACUAUUGUGCUCCUAAUAGUACUAUUAAACCCUACUCUCUCUCUCUCUCUCUCUCUCUCUCUCUCUAUAUAUAUAUAUAUAUAUAAGUGGCGGGUUCACGUGUCACCGUGAGGUUCCGCAACCCUCCUUUAUUGUAGUAGAAAUGGAAAAUAGAUGUACAGCCUCUCCCAGCAUUAAAUUAAAAUGUUGAUAAUCACAAUCCUUUUUGCAUACACAUAUAAGAUUUUAAAACAAAAUCAAUCAAGUUUGAAUAUUAUAUGAGUUUUGUAGAUUUUACAAGAGUUUAUUAGCAUUUCAAUUUGAUGAUGUAUAAAUUCUCGAUUUGGCAACGUUAUUACUGGUUGCAUCAGCAAUAAUCGUCGCCAUCCUCGUGGCGAAAGUGGACAAGUAUGUGCUCUCCCCAUCUCUCCUAAUUUUUUUAUCUCAUAAAUUAUUUAAUUAUUGUCGCUAACCAUACUUUGAAGGCAAUAAUCUCCAUUAAUUAUUUCACUUGCUAAUCAGUCCUUUAAUUAACUAGCUUGUUUUGACCGUUGAAUUGGGUGUUGAGGAUAAUUGAUGUAUGAUCCACCAACCUCUUUUAUAUAUAUAUAUAUAUAUAUAUAUAGUAGGAGUAUAGCGGUUUUUGUGCUUCUGACUUUCUAAUCAUGUAUCAAGUUUGAUGGAUGAUUAGGAUGAGAUAGUGAAGAGAAAUUUAGAAAAAAUUGGAUGUCUUAAUUUCUCUUCUUUUUGAAUUUCUUCUAAAUUUCUCUUCUCUCUCUCAUCCUAACUACCUAUCAAAAUUGAUAAAUGAUUAGGAUGUUAGGAGCAUAAAAGCUACUGUGCUCCUCCUAAUAGCACAGUAACCCUACUAUAUAAUUAUAUAUAUAACUUAUUAAUUUUAUUAAUAAAUUGCAUAAUAAAUUAUAUAAAUCGCGUGUUAAGAUUUAAUCCAAUAUAUGUGAUCUAAAUCACGUAAAGUGCCGAUAUACAAAAAAAAAUACAAAAUUUAAAUAUUUUUAAUAGGAUUUUAGAAAUGUGAUGUAUACUAUUUACUAUACACCUAAUGCACGAAAAAUAUUUCUCUCACCGUCCUAUCUUACUUUUCUCAACUAUGAAAAAUUAUUGCCCGCACCUGGUAUAUUAGUACAUUGCACACACCAAAUCUUUUUUUUUUAUAUCAAUAUUAUAAAAUUAAAAUAUAAUCUAAUAUAUGUGAUCUACACCAUAUAAAAACUCUAUAUAUAAAAAAUUACAAAGUUUAUAUUUUUAUAAUAAAAUUUUAAAAACUUUGUGUAUAAGAUUUAUUCAUACAUAUGGUGGAUGAAAUAAUUUCUUUCCACUAUUUUAUUUCUCUUUUAUUUAUUGAUUUAUUUAAAUUAUUUAAAUAGAUUUUUUUCAAAUCUAUUCUGCAUAAGUUUUAUUAAUAAUUCAAUUAUUAAAUAAUUUAAUUACUAAUAAGCUGUUAUAUAAUUUACGUUGCACAAAUACCAAUUUUAGCUAUUUUUCUUUAAAUAGGUUUGUUUAUUAAUUUACUCUUAUAUAACUUUAUUUAAUUAAUAAUUAGACUAAUAAAAUUAUCAAAAAAUAUUAAAAUAUAUACAUAAAUUUAUUACUAAAAUAUUUUUUAUAUCCGUAGCAUUGUGCGGAUUUUCCACUAGUGUAGGUAAAUAUUGACCCUAUGCCGAAAAAUACUUCGGAUAAAUAAAUAUAUAUUUUUGUUCAUCUGAUAAUGAUUAAAUAAUACUUUUAUAUUUCAGACCUAAUGUUCGCAUGGGAUGCUACAGUUUUUUUUUUUUUUUUUUUGAGAGAUAGAUAGCACGCUACCCGCUUCGUUUAUUUCAUUUAGAAAUAAACUUAGCUGGAAAUGUGAAUCAAGUAGGAUUCGAACUUAGGACCUCAGGUAUUAAUCACCAAGCUCUUUGCCACUUGCUCUAGGGACGGUCGGUCAUGGAAUGCUACAGUUGAGUUUGAUUUCCACACCCUUGCUAAACUAGGUAAUCUAACAUCUGAAAGGAACAAGUUUAAUUUUUGAUGUACUUGGCAAUUUAUUUUGUAAUUAAUUUUGUUAAUUAAUUGUUCCCCUAUUUGGACAAGUUGAGAAUAUUAAAAGGUGUCUUGAGUUACUUAAUUGCAAGCCCUUGAUUAGUUGAUGCCAUUUGAUUGACCCUAGUAAGUGGCCAACGCAUCGCAAGCUUUUACGUUCUGUCAUUUUCCUCUAUCUUUAAGCAGCCAUACAAAUUUGACUAGAGAUCCUCAAUAAUAGGGUUAAAUUGUUUAUUACUUAUGCAAUUUAUCAUCUCAUAUUCAAUUUUAUUUCUUUUUUGCACAACUAAAACAUAUAUAUAUAUAUAUACUGGGGUGGCCAACACAUCGCAAGCUUUUACGUUCUGUCAUUUUCCUCUAUCUUUAAGCAGCCAUACAAAUUUGACUAGAGAUCCACAAUAAUAGGGUUAAAUUGUUUAUUACUUACGCAAUUUAUCAUCUCAUAUUCAAUUUUAUUUCUUUUUUGCACAACUAAAACAUAUAUAUAUAUAAAACUUUAAAGGAUAAACUUCAAAUUACCUUCAUGUGAUAUAGUGCAUUUUUUACUUUAUCAUUUGUGAUUCAAAAAAUUACACUUUGUCUCUUUGUUGUUUAAUUUUUAUUUUACUAAAAGAUUCUGUACUUGUCAAAUAGAAUGACAAAAUAAAUUUUAAUUUUUUAAAAAGCCACAUGGUGACAAAGUGAAAAAUACAUUAAAUUACAGAAUAGUUAAGUCUAAUUAUUUGAAAUGACAAUAUAAAAUUAAGCUAAAUUACAUGAGGGCAAUUAGUUUACCCUAAUCUUAAGUAUAAAUAAAUUUUGUAUUAAGUGUUCAUAUAUAAAAUUACAUUACAUUCACUUAAUUUAAAAGGAGAGAGAAAAAAGACAAUCUCCACCCACUUAACAUAUUAAUCUAUAUAAAAACUAUUAACUUAUUAAUUUUUUCCUAAUCUAUAAAGAUGAGGAUAGAUUGAGAAUAUUUUUCAAAAGGAGGCUAGAUAGGGAAUUUUUUUUUGUAAAGAGGCUAGACAAGUAAAUUUUUUUUUUUUUUUUGAGAGAUAGGUAGCACGUUACCCGCUUCGUUUAUUUCAUUUAGAAAUAAACAUAGCUAGAAAUGUGAAUCAACUAGAAUUCGAAUUUGGGUCUCGAGUACCAACCACUAAGCCUUUUGCCAUUUGCUCUAGGGACGGUCGAUCGGUGGCUAGACAAGUAAAUGAAUCGAAAAUCUGAUUGGUUGCCCUUGCACGUGGGUGGGACCAACAGCGCGCGUGCAGCCGACGCUGAAUUGUGGGCAGGUGCUGACAACAUUCUAGAAACAAAAAAAAAAAAAAAAAAGAAAAAAGAGUAAAAGGAAAUGCUUUCUCAUAAAAUCUGGUUUUGACUAGUGUUAUAUAUCCACCAACCGUUUCUAGAGCAAGUGACAAAGGACUUGGUGGUUGGUACCCGAGACCUAAGUUCGAAUCCGGCCUAGUUGAUUCACGUUUCCAGCUAAGUUUAUUUCUAAAUGAAAUAAACGAAGCGGGUAGCGUGCUUUCUAUCUCUCAAAAAAAAAAGACUAGUGUUAUAUAUCUAUAUCUAUAUAUAUAUAUAUAGUAUGGUAAAUUUGUAUGGUAAUUUUGGAUUACUUAUAAUAAAAACAUCUAACUAGAUCAUUAAUUAACAGGACUUGGAGCACAAUUUGAAAAAAAAAUAAAAAUAAAAAUGAAGCAACAUGUUGAUUGUAAAUCAUCAGCAGUAAUUGAAGAUUAUAUGAGCAAUCAAUACAUUUCAGCCAAUAUUUGAUUCAAUAUUUAUUAAGUAUUUUAAUUACUGUUGGCAUAUGUACAAUUAUCGCCUAAUUAACAGAAAAAUAGUUUUUUAAAGCUUACAAGUAACAUAUGGAGUUUAAAGUAUAAGUAGCAAUUUACAAUUUAGUUGAAGUUUUGGGAUUCUUAAAAUUAAGUUUAUAUAGUAUAAAUCUACGAUAAUUUUACAGUGGUUUGGCGUGAUGAACCAGGCGAAGAAAAAUGAACGAAAGAAAAGAAAAAAAGAAAAAAGAAUAAGACUAUUUUGAUCAAUUUCUCAAAAAUUCAGUUCGAAUAUGUAAAAUCUCAAAAAACAGCCUAUUUUUGCAAAAACAUAAAAUCGGUAGAUUUUUUAUGCAAAAAUGCUAAAUUAAAUUAUUACAAAAUAUAUUUUAUUGCGACAUUUUUUGUCAUUAUGAUAAUGCAAAUCUUAUCAUUUAGCGAUUUAUUACAAUAAAAUUUAUUAUAAUGAUUUAAAAGAAUUAAUUUAUUAUAAAAAAAUAUUAUUAUAAAUAGUUAUCAAUUGGAACAGUAUUUAGUGAUGGAAAAGAAUAAAUUUUUAGUAGUGAAUAAAGUCAAUUCUGAGUGCAACAAUCUCAACGUGACGUUAAUAAUCCAAUGAUUAUAUAACAAUUCAUUAACUAUUGACUAUUCUAAUGAUUAUACGAUAAACGUGAUUACCGUACGUGUAAAAAAAAAUAAAAGAAUUAAUAUGUUAUGAGCGCCGACAUCUAUUAUGCUUCCCUUGUUGGACUUGACUGGGCCUUUUUUGAUAAAUAAAAAAAAAAUCCUGAUACUUUCCAUAGAGAGAGAGAGAGAGAGAGAGAGAGAGAGAGAGGGGAGAGAGAUAGAACUUAAUAGUAAAAAAUAUUUAAGUAUUAAAAAUAUGAAAAAUAUAAUUUUAUUUAUGAAUUUUGACAUAAUCUGAUUGUACAUAUAAACUUUUAAAUUUUAUUUAAUAAUAAUUAAUUAAUAUAGAGUGAAAAAUUGACAAAAUCAAGGUAGACUUUGUUAAGUUGAUUUUUAUUUCCAGGAGAAUCGGCACACCUUAUGUUAGCAUAAUUUUGUUUGCAUGGUAAUUAACUUUCACAAUCUCCAUUUUAUUUUAUUUUAUUGUUUCUCAAUUAGAAGUCUUUGCGUAGAUCCUAUAAACAACAUCUGUAAAAAAAAAAAAAAAUUAUAAUAGAGAAGUUAAUUUGUUUGAUGACAUUCAAAAUAUCUAUGUAAAAAAAACUAUGUAAAAAAGUUUAUAAUUGUUAAGCAUUUACUUUUCAUAAAUUAGAUUUUACAAAUAAAAUAAUAAUUCUUCGUCUCCAAUUAAUAUUAAUAUUGAGAUGAUCAAUUGAUACGGUUAGUAAUGUGUAUCUUUUACCAUUUCAUUCGGUGCAUGUGUACACGUGGUGCAGGGAGUAAUUUCUCACUAGAGCGGGUGAUCAAUGGUGACCCACUUGGCGUUACAUCACUUCAACGUUGUGAGAUCAUUACGUAAUCAUUUCUGACGUCAUCGUUCCAAUCGUAGUUCAAAGAUCUUCUCGGCCGCCUAAAAGAAAUCAUCCACUUACAUUUACGGAAAAUUAGAGAACAAAAAUUUUAUCAUAAUUAAAAUGUAAAAUAUAACUUUCUCAAAAGAUUACAAACUCGUGGAUACACUCAUCUCCUUUCUUUUCAGCCACAUCGUUUUACGGAAUAAAAUAUAUACAUUUACUUAUUUUAUAAUUUCUACUUUACAAUUUUGUACUUUUUAAAAUACACCAUUUUGUUAUCCUAUUCACUGGUGAGCUUAGGCAAUAAUAAGUGACAAAUAAAAAUGCCUUCAACACUAAGGAAGCAAAUUGAAGGCAUUUGAUUUGGCAACAAAACAAACGUGCCGUGGGACCAAAGUAAAUUGAAGGCAUUUUUUUUUUGAUUAAAUAGGGAUAUACCCUAUUUUGGAGAUGGUACAGGGUUAAAGGAAAAGUUACAAAAUAGGGCGAAGACAAACAAAAUCGAAAAGUAAAUCUAAGCGUAACACAGUCUAAAGAAAAUAUCGUGAUAAUCCAGCAGCCACGUAGUAACAUCAGCUGCAAACGAACCAACCGCCACCGUGGAGACCAUCUAGACUUUUGAAGGCAUUUUUAUUUGUCAACAAACCAUCUAGACUUUUGAUUCUCUUAAUAUUUAAUCAAGUGUUUGUCGAAUAAUUAAAAGUUUUAUCAAAUUCAUUUGUGAUUUUUCUAGAUUUAAUUUCUUUAACUAUGUUUUGGUAAAUAAAACUAAAUGAGCGACUACUAAUAAAGUAAUUAAAUUUGAUAUAAUCUCAAAUUAAAGAGUUUUUUUAAACAAAGAAUUUAUUUCAAAAUUCUCUGUUUGUUUUUUUUUUUUUUAACUCCUUCUCCCGCGAGCUUUUGGUGGGCCCUGCAUGGUCCAGAAAACUUUUUGUCCUGGAGAUUUUGUAGAGAUUUUGCGCUUUGAAAAUUUCGAAGACGUCUCAUGAUUCAGGCACUCUAACGAAAUCCACAUCACUAGCAUUAAAUAUUAUAUAAAAUAUGUAAAUUUUGAAAUAUUUAAAUUCUAUAUAUUUAUAUAGUCACAAAGUUAAAACUUCUAACAGCUGAAAUGAGAUUUGAGGCUAGUUAUUACUAAAUAACUAAUAUUGAAAUAUUAUAAAUUUUGGUUUCUUAAAAAAAUCAAGUAUCAUGUCGAGCACUCAAGUGUCAGGCCCUUAAUUUAUCUAAAAAUAUUCUAACUCGCCCCCCCUUCUCUCUCUCUCUCUCUCUAUACACGGAUUUGAGUAGUAGUUCAAAAACAAUUAAUAUAUUUCAACUAUAGGUAAUUGAAUACCAAUAACCAGAUCACAAAUUGAUCAAAUUCUUCCAAAUUAACAGUUCAAAAUAACAAAUCUGAGAAAUUAACUAGAAUUUUGAACGACUUAAAACCAUUGGAUUGGCCAAAUUAAUUAAUUUUCGGUGGUUCAGAUAUAGCAACCCAGGUACUGCAUUUUGUUUUUCUCAAUAUUUGGACUUAACCUAGCUAGUGAUCACUAUCAAUAACGAGGAUGAGCUUGACCAUGCAUGUCUUGGCUCAUGAUAACUGUUCUCGAUUAGUCAAGGAGGGUACACUAACAUGGCCCGAUAUUUUGUACUGUAUAUAUUAAUUAAUUUAUAUAAAAGGUGCAUGCAUUUGACCAGUUCCAAUUACGUCCAACGAUUUUCCUCUAUAUUUUUUUAUGAUAUAUUCCUUUUAAUUAUACUUUAUGGCUUUUUGAGAAAUGAUUGAUGUACGUACCGUAGGUUAUAUGUUUCCAAUAAUAUUGUUGAUGGGAUGGCGACUAUGAUUAGGCAGUUUAAGAUUAAGGCUCUAGAGUGUAAUUAAAAUAAAUAAGUCAAUAAAAUUUUAUUACAAAUUAAUGACUAAUUAAAAAACUCUAUUGUUGAUGCAAUUCUGAGAAGAAAAUUUUAAACUAGCACAUUGAUGCAAUUCUUGAAGAAGGACGAUACGAUUAAUUCAUGAUCAGCAGGUAAUUAACUAACUUUGCUGCUGAUGAUGAAGAUCCAAAGUAGAAAAGUCACUGUUGUUACCGAUGUGAGUGCACGCGAAGAUAUACCACUUGCUAUAAUUAGUCCUUAUGCAACUCGAAGGCUAAAGUUUUAUCAAGAACAUUAAUAAAAUGGUAUCUAUGGGGGUCAUUAAUUAAGAUCAAUUAAUUAACUCAAGCGGUCGAAAAUUGGCUUUAUAGAACUGUAGAAAAGAUAAUUUAUAUACAUAGAGGAUUAUAUAUAAGCGUAAUUGAACAAAAAAUUAUGGGGAGUAAGUGUGGAAUAACGAGAUAAUUAAAAAUGAGCUUGUUUAUUAGUGCAGUGCAAUUCUUAGGGUACUGUGGCUAACAGGGCUUGUGUAAUCCAAGUUCCAAACCAUCAAAAUUUAAAAAACUUAUUAUAUGCUUUGUUCAGUAUUAUCGCCAUUUUUUAUUUUUUUUAUAUACAAUUUUCGGUAAAGGCAUGUAGGAGCGGAUGAUAGAUUACUUGCAUUUUUUUAUCUUUAAAAUAUUUGUUUCAGCAGCAAAAAAUUUUUAAAAAAAUGCUCACUAUUAAUUUUUUUUUUAAAAAAAAAUCUGUAAUUUUCCUUUGAAGAAAUGAUUAUUCAUUAUCCUACGAAAAAUAUAUUAUAAACCAACUAUAACAAGAAGGAAAAGUUGAUCCAUCAGUACGUUUAAUUAUAAGACAUUUAAUUAUGUUUAAGAAAACGAAAAAUAAAUAAUGACAAACAGGAACUAUAUAUAUUCGUCCAUCACCAGUUCACCACAAGAUAUAUAACGUUUAGAGGAUUAAUCGACAAAUUAGAAUUACUUUAAAACGUAGAAACAAGCUACAAAACAGUUGGAAAAACAAACUUUACUCUGUUGUAUGCAUCAAGUUACAACAAUCCCACAACGAGUACGACCGGAAUUUAUUAACGUACGGUCAAUGGCAUAUAUAUAUAUAUGGAAACCGAAAAAAAAAAAAAAAAAUCAUGCAUGCAAAUUAAAAUGGAAUCUACUUACUGGUUUGCACCUAGCUAGCUAGCUGAUCAUGCUCACGUCGAGGCAGAGAUAUAGGAAGCCGAGAAGACAUGCGGCGGCGGUGAUGAGAAACACCCGCCAGGAAGAAGAGGCGGCGAUGUAGAUGCGGAGGGCGAAGGCGAUGGCCCCGGAGACGCUGAUCAGGACCAUCCUCUUCCUACGCGCGCGGCGCCACUCCGCGGCCGCGGGCCCCUCCGUCGCUUCCUUGAAGUAGUGAAGGGCGGUGUAGACGGCGACGAAGAAGGUGAGGCAGAGGAAGGCGAGGUGCGCGUCGUAAGCGACCUGGAGGUGCGGGUCCACCGGCUUGGAGAGGUUGUUGGCCAGCGUGAUGGCGUAGCCGGCCCAUCCCACGGCGGCGGUCAGCAUCGCCGUGCUAGCUCUUGCCGUCGCCGCCGCUGCCGCCGUUGCCGCCGCCGCCCGCCGGGCCAACGCCGCUGGGGUUCUCACGCUCUGUCCUCUCCAUGUCCACGGCGUGCUCGACGGCGGCACGUUGUGUCCUCUCCAUGUCCUGGGCGGGCUUGACGGCCGCCGGGGACCCGGAGACCCAGCGAAACAGCCCGGCAACGGAGGAGCCGACGAGGCGGAAAAUAGCGUACAUGUUUUAGUUACUCAGCAAACUAUAUGUUCAGCUUAGCUAAUUCUUAUAAGCUUAUAAGCUAACUUCACUUUAUUCACAGGAAUAAUUACCUAAAUACCUCUCAAAAUUUUAAAAAUAUCUCAUUAAUCCUUUUUUUUUUCUAAAAUAUCCCUCAUAUGUUCCUCCGUUAUUUCAAAAUACCCCUACAGUUUACCACCUGUUAAAUUAAUUUGGGUUAAACUUGAGUUAAAUAUCUACCAAAAAUUAAAAAAAAAAAAUCUCUUUUGUUCUUAACUUAAGGACAAAUAAGAAAUAUUGGUGAUGAUAGAAAGGUAUAUUUAAAAAGAUCAAAAAUCAAAAUACUUUUUGUGUCCCUAACCUAAGAGCAAAUAAAAAAAGUCGGUCAUAGUAGAAAGGUAUAUUUGAAAGAGCAAAAUAAUAAUUUCAUAUAAAUAACAGUUAUUGUUAAUAGUUAAUUAACAAAAUUUAACGUUAGGGGUAUAUUUGGAAUAGGUAGAAUAUAAAAAGGGUAUUUUCAAUAUUAACCUUUUAAGAAUAGUAAAUCAGAAAGUUAAAAUUUUUUUGGGGAUAUAUAAGCAAUUGCCGUUUAUUUGUAUAUACUUAAUUAAUUGGCAUAUAUAGUAUUCAACUAGCUAAUUUCUACUACGUACAAGACCUAGUUUAUUAUUAUUAUUUUUUAAAAAAAACUGAUCAAACUUUACUAGCAAAAAGUUUAAGAAAAUUUACGAAAAUUAACCGUACACUGUCGAUAUUGCUUCCAUAUUUUAAAAUAUUUCUUUUAUAUAUUAUUAAGAAUGUGAUUUUUAUACUAUUGAUAGUAUGAAAAUAGUAUUUACUAUUUAUUAUUUUAACAACUUGUAUGAGUUUGAUUUUGUUGCUCUCAAGCAUGGUGCACUCAAUUUACUUAUGAGGAUCAAGAAGAGUGUUAACUACCAAUGAAGACUUAAGAGUUUAUACUUCAUUAAAUACUAAACAAAAUGUCAAUUGAAAAAUAAAUUAUCGCUGUGUUAUGUACCUUUCACAGGAACAAAAUAUGUUUUAGACCAUGCUUUUGAGAUGACGCUCUAUUCUAACAUCUUUAAUAUUUGACAUGUGCUGAUAUUAUGAUUAAGGAUCGUCAAUAAAUAUAUUUUUAUCAAAUGCUGAUAAAAUUUUUUCGAUGCUAUAUUAAAGCGUUGAUAUAUUUAUCCCGAUAUAUUUACUUAACGACUCUUUGUUCGACACUUUUACAAGCUAGCCUAUUAUUGGUCUGUUGUCUAGUCAAAUGAGGCGGCUAUCGUAGAGGAAAAUGACAAUUAAUUUUAAAUUAAACUUGAGUACAGAUAUGUAAAAUAUUGUGCAUUUGCCUAUUAAAAAUCACUAGGUUAAUUUGAAAAAUUGAUCAGUAAGUUAUUCAAUAAUCUGUAUAUAUAAUUAAUGAUAGAGAAAAAAAUCAUUAUUUAAUUUAUAAAAAAUGUCCCUAAAAUUAAUUUACAUAUUUGAUAUUAUAAGUAUUUAAAAGUCCUUUUUUUCAGUGAGAAACUGAUCAGAAAGAUAUAUAGUAAGACAAGAAUAUGUUUCGUUCACCUUCUUGAGAAAUGAACUUAGCUAACUGCAAAUUUAAAAUUUCAAUUAAUAAUUUGAAUUUAUAGUUGGAAUAAUUUGAAUUCAAAGUUCAAACUAAAGUUCUUAGCGAAAAAUAAUUAGAUUAAAAUUUAAAUUUUAGAAUUCAAAUUUAAAUAAAAAUAAAAAUUUUAAAAUUUAAAUUUAAAUAUAAAGUCACAAAUUAAGUUGGUUAUAUAGUCUCAUAUAUUUGGUAUUAAAUACUCUAGGCGCCGCCUUAUCUAUAGAAUCCCAGUUAGACUAAUUUUGGUCAUUAAUUGGCCUUCCAAAGUUCCGGAAAUUAAGGAGCCAUUAAAAGUGCACAUACAAAUGAGUAAUCUCUCUCUCACACGUGUAAAUGGUUAAUUUUUUGGUUACUAAAAAGCUUGUGCGAUGCACAUUUCUUAGUUUAGCAAAGGAAUCCCAACUUAAUUUUAACUGAAGUGGAAAAUUACAUAUUAAGAUUUUCAAACGUAAAAUAUGGACCUUUCGAUUCAAAAA